GUGAGCUGCUUUGAGAUGUUCUUGUUUUGUGUUUGCCAAGUGGACCACGGAAAAGUUAUAUAGCGAACAACGCAAGAGAACAAAGUGAGCUACAAAGCAUACACAACUACUGAUAGUUUUACACAGCCACACACCCAUACAUAUCGGCACUCUCCACUGGCCGAACCACACAAAAUUCUACGGGGUACACUUUCACUAACCAUCGUGGUAAUGAAGUGCAGUUUUUACAAUGAACUAAUGAAGUGCAGUUUUCAACAAAAACAAAAUUGAGGAACGGGCCAUCCAGCCGAACUACAUCACUUCACCUUUCCUGCAAAUAUAAGUAGAAUGAACGUCAAUAGCAAACCACAGAGGACUUCAUUUGGACUUUUUUCUGUUUAGAAAAGCACAAAAAUCAAUGAAAUGCAGAAGAGCAUUAUGCGUCUCCUGAUGCUCUACUCGCCAUGUUUGCAGUAGGCCGCCGGGAAGGGCGAUGCAGUGGGGAGAGGAGGCCCAUGGAACCUCCAGAUAGGCCCAGCGCGCUGCAUAGGAUGCGCCCGCGAGCUGCACCCCAAGCGAGUGAAAUACAAAAUGACUAAAAAAUCACUGUGGCAUGUAGCCACCACAACGAAACUGCAAUCCUGCCUGAUUCCCGAUCUACACUGCACGAGGAGUCGCAGCGCACUGCACGCCCACGGCCGUGCUGCUCCAGCGACGGAGGAUGGGAGGUGGAAGAGGGGGACCGAGGGGCGGCGACCCAAGAACUCGGCGGCACCUGCGCGGGUACUUGGGGCGCGACCUGACCGGGGGAGCCUGGAUCCAUCGUCGGAGGUUGAGGCUGAUGCGCUCAUUGGUGCAAUGGGGGCGGGGCCUGGCAGCGCGGCGGUGUUGCCCGGCACCGCAGGGAGGUAGUGAAUGGGGAGGGGGCGGGGGCGGAUCCCACCGGAUCCCACGAGGACGACGACGCUGGAGGCGGACCCCACCGGAUCCCACGGGGACGACGACGCUGGAGGCGGAUCGGAUCCGGCACCGGGAGAGGUCGCGGUGGUGGUACGACCACCAUGGAUGGGGAGGAGGAGGGGUUGUUCUGGUCAACGGAGCAGGGGGCGGUGGCCAUCCAGGAGAAGUAGGGGGCGGUGCCACGGGAAAGUGCUGCAGGGGAGGAGGCGGAGCGUGGUGGUAGGUGGCAGGGUAGGGCUCCGGCGACGCGCGGCGAGGGCGGGGCUCCGGCGGUGCGGGUUGGAAGAAGGAGGUCAGCCGCAUCGCAGGGAGGGGCCGACGCGGGGUGGGAGGUAGGAGGUCGUCGGGAUGGCGCCGCGGCGGCGCGGGGGAAGGAGGUGGGGCGACGGCGCGGGCGAAGAUGGCGGCUAGGCGGCGCGGGGGAGGAAGGUGGUGCGGCGGCGCGGGCAGGGAGGUGGUCUGGUGGCGAGGCGGUGGGAUGCGGGUGUGGAGCACGGGGGAGCGAGGGGUGGAGGAGAGGAUAAGGCGGGGUGGGUUCUGUUUUUUUUUCAUUGCGUCCGUAGUUUGGUCGUGGUUAGUUUGUAGCUACAGGUGGGUCGGGGUGUUAUCAAAAUAAGCUCCGAUCUUAUCAUAAUAAGACUCUUAAGGAUGUUAUCAGAAUAGACCCAUCCUAUAUAUAUAUAUGUAUAUAUGUGUGAAUUAAUUAAUGAUGGUUGUGAGACAUUCGAAUUAGCUAGCUAUAUACAAUUUCUCCUAUACAAGAAUGGAAAUUUCUCCUAUAUACAAUUUCACCAAUUUCCACUCCUGUCUUUGAGAUCUGCUCGUUUCGGAUGCCAUCAUGUGAAUGUUCUCGCAAACGUAGUAUGCACACAGAUUAUUCCCCGGCGCCUGCUUCAGGGCCUUUACGAGAAUGGAAUUUGAUCAGAUGAUAAUUAAUCAAGCAUGAUAAUUAAAGAGAUGACAGCUAGCUAGUACUACUUAAUUACUUACCAUGGGUCGAUAUCAUUUUAGAUUUUGUUUCCAUGGGCAUGUAGUGACCCUGAUGAACUUUGCCCAAGCCCUGCCCGCCGACAAAGAAAAUGAAUAAAUGGGUUAUUAAAUAGAGUUACCAGGAAAUGACGAACUAAUUAAAUAGGUCGAGAUAUAGUUAAUAAUGAUUGAAAUUACAUGUUGACUAUCCCCUUCAUGAUGGUGUAGUCAGUUGGUUUCUUAAGUAGUGAGUCUAGUCCUUGAACUGUUCAUUCAUCAACUUUAAUGAUUAACAAUAUCCAGUGAAAUCUGGAUGCACAUAAGUUUGCAUGUCUUAAUUAAGCGGGCAUAUGUAAGCAAAAACAUGUAGCUAGCUAGUAGGCAAAACAUAAUUUAUAGUACAAGACAGUGUGACUCACUCGAAGUUGUAAGAAAGUAGUAUAUCUUCAUUGUAUUUGAGGUGCUUGAAGAACUCUAGCAUGCUUUCCUCUACACUUUUUUCGUAAUAUGGAUCUAAUUUCCAUAUGUAUUCAUUAAUGGUAUUUGGGUCAACGAACCCAAUGCCAUAGCAUUCACAUUUUUCAUUUCAUAAAUCUUCAUCCUGCAUAAUACCACAGAAAAGAAUAUAGUGAGGAUAAUUACAGGUAAUGAUUGAUCAAAAUGAUCACUACAGCUAGCUUGAGACUUAAAUUACAGAAAGAAAUCACUUAAAGACAAUAGCAACUGACGAUAGAUUUGUCAAGUGCGUCUUGAUUGUAUAACUGAAAUAGUUCUGAAUACUCAACGGACACAGCUUUCUCAUGGUAUUAAUGAUCCUUCUUGACAUUUACCAUGCGGGACUCUCGGUUGGAAAUCUUGGUAAUGCCCAUGUACCACUAGAAGAAAUCUGUUGAUCCAUGACGGAUUUCGCAUGACGUUUUCGAAAUCUGUCAUGAAUGGCCCGGUACAGCCCCGCAAGCCCGCUAAAGCCUGCCAAAGCCCGCCUAACCAUUCACGUAUAAAAACCAAACCCUAAGUGCCUCCUCCUCGGCCCCCUCCUCUCUCUAUCUCUCCCUUCGUCGCAGCCCUCCUCCCCGUUCCCCAUCUUCUCACACACAUAGCCGCCACCCACCACCACAUCGCCUCCUCCCACUGCUCGUCGCCGGCCCUCCUCCUCUCACCUCGCUGCUCCGGCAGCUGCUAGAUCCGUCGCAACCCCCACCAAUCCAUCCCUCGCGCGACCCAUCUCUCUCUCUCUCUCUCUCUCUCUCUCCCGUGAAUCGUCGCGCCGCCACAAACAUCCGCCGAUUCCGGCGACUUCCGCCACCGUGCAGCACGAUCAUGAGUUCAUCUCCGACCCCUCCGCCAUCCUGCCCGGCUGGAUCCGCAGCUCCCUGCCCCCUGCGCUCGCACUCAAACCCUAGCCCAUGCCUAGGGUUUCGGCUGCGGCGGGCGCGUCCGUCGCUGGCGCGUCUCCAGCAGCACCACUCCGUCGUGCAUCGCGCCCCCUCGCGCCUCUCCGCCUCCCCCAAGCUCAGUGCGUUCGACUGUGUUGGGCUGGACGGCGGCGACCCCGACGCCCUCUUCCGCGUCUCUGGCGAAGCGAUGUGUCCUGUACUCCUGUGGCUACCUCCUCUAUUACGCGACGACGAUGUCUGGCCUGCACUGCGACCACUGCAUUGCUUACAAAUGUCUCCGAUGAGCACUGCGACCUCUGCCUCCCUCUUCUGCUUGAUUCAGCUUGAUUUUGUAUCUUUCGUCUCAAGAAUUGAUGAUUUAAUAUUUACAAACAUUAAUCCCUCUGCUAUAGAAUUUAUAGUCUAGUAGCAAAUUAGGCUCAUAGUCACUAAAUUGUUUGAUGCUUUCCUGAUUUGAUUAAGAUGACUGUUGCAAUCAGGUAGCUGUAGUUUUAGUUGACUGUACUUUUUUAUCUGUAUUAUGUGAAAGUGAACUUCGGAGUGCAAAAUUGUAUUUGUUGUGCAUUUUUAUAUCUUUCCAGAACCAAAAGAGAUGAAUUGAACCUCUUCUUACCGCCUAAUAAAAGGGAAUGUGCAGAACUGUAUGUGCUGUACAUUUUUGUAUCUUUCUAGAACCGAAAGAGAUAGAGAAUUGAACCUCUUCUUACUGCCUAAUAAAAGGGAGUGUAGUACUGGUUCAAUCACUUCGAGAAUGCUUCUUGAUAUACCAGGAAAAGGGAGUUAUCCACUUUUAAGAAUUACUGGAUGUUGCUUUACAUUCUACUGUAGCCUUUUUGUCUUUCUGUAUUGUGGAAUCAGUGUUCCUUGUCUGACAUAUUUCUCUACUGAUGUGAAGUGUAUAUAUUAAUAUCCCAUUAAUGUAGUACAUAGUCAGUCAUAACUACUUUAUAAUAGUUUAGAUAUACUUCCCUGAAAUGUUAUGUGAACCAUUGUAUAGCUCUUAUGUUCAUCAUUACUUCCCUGUAUAGCUCUUCUGUUUAUCAUUACUUCCAGCUUGGUUGUUAUUUUUUGCAGUACUGGUAGAGAUCAGAUUGCCAUAGCCCAUUAUAUAAGUUCUAUGUUUGAUUGAUUUCCUCUACCAAUUCUAAAUAUAAUAAUCAAAAUUUGCAUUUGUUUAAUGCAAGAUCUGUUAUCAAAAUCGAGAGUUAGUGGUUCAAGUUUAUUAAAUCAUGUUAAGUGUAGUGUAACUUUGAAACUGUCUCCACCUUGAACAUUUCAUUUAUUCUUGCUUUCUUUACCAUUAGUAGGUAUUAUUUAUAAUCUGCUUCCUCAAUUCCAAAAUAAUUGAAUUUGACCAAGUUUAUUAGAAGCUAUAUCAACAUCUGCACCACAUAAUUAGUUUCACUAGAUUCAUUGUAAAAUACAUUUUUGUAAAAAAGAGCUCACUUGUCUGUUCUUGAUACUAUAGUAUACCUAUUAUGUCUGAUCUCACAUGUAGAUAGGUGUAUUUGUUUACAUAAGAAAAAUUACAUGAAGUUAGUUCAUGAUCAUGGCUUAGGGAAAAAAAGGUGUGCACUAUGGUAAAAAGAGGUACAAUUUUGUUCCAAGUAGUUUUCCAGAAACAAUAAUUUAUCUUGUUCAUAUCCCUUUAUUAUUUGUCAACACCCCUCUGAUCUUUCAGAUGAUAAUUUUUCAAAGGUACCUACAGUUGCACAACAAGGUGGAGCUCCUCAGCGCUUUGGCAUGGGUAAGCUCCUAUGCCCUUCAAGAUGAUUUGAACUAUUUGGCACUAGGUUACUCGUGAUUAGUCGUCGAUGUUGUGUUGCUGCAAUGAAACAAUAUUGUUGAUUAAUGAAAGACAAGCAAUCCUGGCAUAAUUCUUAAGUAUAUAGGCCUCACGAGUGAGGUUCAAAUCACGUGAAAUAAAAAUGAUGGUUCAGAUAAUAAUAACUACUAUUUAUGUUGUUGUAAUCAACUUACCAUUUUGUAACAGAAGCAUAUUGUUUGUUACAGGUUUACUUGGUGGUCGGAGCCACAAAGGAAGUUGGAGGUGUAGACGUGAACUUGAUGAUUAAGAGGGUAUGUACAAUUUUGUAUAUUUGUAGAUGUAAUCGGGUGUAAUUAUUAUUGAGGGCAUGUGAUCUGAUGUUGGAUGUAUUAUCUGGAUGUAUUAUUGGCCACCUUUUAGAAGGUCUUUACUCAGUGAAAUAUUGAAUAGAAAUUUGUCAAAUGCUUCAAAUUAUGGGCCUGUUCAAUAGAAAUUAAUUAUGUUGUGAAAGCUUGUUUGAUUACAUGUAAUGGGUGGCGCUGGUUGGAUGGAAAUCAUGGCUGGACUAAAAUAAAUGGUCUAAACUACCACAAUAAAUAAUGCGGAUGCCACGUCACAUCCAUGCUGGUGCCAUGUAGAUGCCACGUCAAGCCCAUUUUUGUGCAACGUCAUCUCAAUCCAUGACGGACUAGUCUGUCACAGAGGACCGGGCCUGGGCGGGCCUAGGGACUGACCGGUGACGGUCAGGAUCCGUCAUGGUGGUACAGUUGUCAAAUUAUGACGCGAUAUACAUGACGGAUUUUAAAUCCGUCAUGGACCACCCUCCUUGACGGUUUUGCAAUGUUCCAUGACAGACAGUAUCCGUCAUGGAGUAACAAGAUUCUUGUAGUGUACCAUUGAUGCAAUUCAUACAUUCUCGUUGGGAGCUUCUUGACCUCGUCUGGCUUGACCAAAGGUUGGCCCCGGACAUAUUUCCGUUUUAUUUCCUCCUCUCUAGUCAGAGACAUGGGCUCGAUAUCGAGGAGUUGUCCAACAGUGAUCAUGACGCUUUUAGCCUGCUCAAUAUGCUCCCUGGUUAUUACCACAUCGCCCAGCCCGGGAAUGUUAACGGUUUGCCCACAAUAAUAUUGGGCGCUCAUACUCUCANNNNNNNNNNNNNNNNNNNNNNNNNNNNNNNNNNNNNNNNNNNNNNNNNNNNNNNNNNNNNNNNNNNNNNNNNNNNNNNNNNNNNNNNNNNNNNNNNNNNNNNNNNNNNNNNNNNNNNNNNNNNNNNNNNNNNNNNNNNNNNNNNNNNNNNNNNNNNNNNNNNNNNNNNNNNNNNNNNNNNNNNNNNNNNNNNNNNNNNNNNNNNNNNNNNNNNNNNNNNNNNNNNNNNNNNNNNNNNNNNNNNNNNNNNNNNNNNNNNNNNNNNNNNNNNNNGUUCUCCAAGCUGGGGAAUGGUUUUACCGCAUGUUUUGCCAGCUGAUUUGCUCGAGCUCGAGCUCGCCUCUUUCUGUAGACGUGCUUGAUUUAACUUCCUGAGGUGGCGCUCAUAGUCUGUGUCAACAGGCUUGGGAGCUGGUGCUCUAGCCAUACAAAUGAAGUGGUCAAUCUUUUCCUCAGGCACUUUCUCCCUUGGCGGCGGUGGCGGUUUCGGUGCAAAAUGGGCUUCCACCUCAGCCUUCGAUAUGGCUACGUUUUCCUCCUCGGACUUGUCGUAAGGCCUUUGUGGAAGAGGCGCGAGGCUGCUUGGACCAUAUUGAAAUCGCUUGCCUCCGCAUGUACCUCCAGUACUACCUCGACUUGUACCGCUACGCACCAUAGCUGAGGCGGCUCUCUUCCAUGAUUGUUGAGGCGGCGAAGACGGCUGACGUGGCUGAGUUGGAGGAGGAGGAGUGGCCUGAAGCUGUGCCGGACUUGGAGGAGGAGUGGCUGUUGGAAAUAUGCCCUAGAGGCAAUAAUAAAAUGGUUAUUAUUAUAUUUCUUUGUUCAUGAUAAUUGUCUAUUGUUCAUGCUAUAAUUGUGUUAUUCGGAAAUCGUAAUACAUGUGUGAAUACAUAGACCACAACAUGUCCCUAGUGAGCCUCUAGUUGACUAGCUCGUUGAUCAAAAGAUAGUCAUGGUUUCCUGACUAUGGACAUUGGAUGUCAUUGAUAACGGGAUCACAUCAUUAGGAGAAUGAUGUGAUGGACAAGACCCAAUCCUAAGCUUAGCUCAAAGAUCGUGUAGUUCGUUUGCUGUAGCUUUUUUGAAUGUCAAGUAUCAUUUCCUUAGACCAUGAGAUUGUGCAACUCCCGGAUACCGUAGGAGUGCCUUGGGUGUGCCAAACGUCACAACGUAACUGGGUGACAAUAAAGGUACAUUACAGGUAUCUCCGAAAGUGUCUAUUGGGUUGGCAUGAAUCAAGACUGGGAUUUGUCACUCCGUAUGACGGAGAGGUAUCUCUGGGCCCACUCGGUAAUGCAUCAUCAUAAUGAGCUCAAUGUGAUCAAGUGGUUGAUCACGGAAUCAUGCAUUACGGUACGAGUAAAGUGACUUGCCGGUAACGAGACUGAACAAGGUAUUGGGAUACCGACGAUCGAGUCUCGGGAAAGUAACGUACCGAUUGACAAAGGGAAUUGUACAUUGUUGAGAAAAUCGUUAACUGGUAACUGCUCGUUUGGCUGGUGAGUAGAGGAUUAAUAGGCUAAUUGGCAAGUUAAUCCUGAAGGAAAUAUGCCCUAGAGGCAAUAAUAAAGUUAUUAUUUAUUUCCUUAUAUCAUGAUAAAUGUUUAUUAUUCAUGCUGGAAUUGUAUUAACCGGAAACAUAAUACAUGUGUGAAUACAUAGACAAACUUAGUGUCACUAGUAUGCCUCUACUUGACUAGCUCGUUAAUCAAAGAUGGUUAUGUUUCCUAACCAUGAACAAAGUGUUGUUAUUUGAUUAACGGGAUCACAACAUUAAGAGAAUGAUCUGAUUGACAUGACCCAUUCCAUUAGCUUAGCACCCGAUCGUUUAGUAUGUUGCUAUUGCUUUCUUCAUGACAUAUACAUGUUCCUAUGACUAUGAGAUUAUGCAACUCCCGUUUGCCGGAGGAGCACUUUGGGUGCUACCAAACGUCACAACGUGACUGGGUGAUUAUAAAGGAGCAUUACAGGUGUCUCCAAAGGUAGAUGUUGGGUUGGCGUAUUUCGAGAUUAGGAUUUGUCACUUCGAUUGUCGGAGAGGUAUCUCUGGGCCCUCUCGGUAAUGCACAUCACAUAAGCCUUGCAAGCAUUGCAACUAAUGAGUUAGUUGCGAGAUGAUGUAUUACGGAACGAGUAAAGAGACUUGCCGGUAACGAGAUUGAACUAGGUAUUGGAAUACCGACGAUCGAAUCUCGGGCAAGUAACAUACCGAUGACAAAGGGAACAACGUAUGUUGUUAUGCGGUCUGACCAAUAAAGAUCUUCGUAGAAUAUGUAGGAGCCAGUAUGGGCAUCCAGGUCCCGCUAUUGGUUAUUGACCGGAGACGUGUCUCGGUCAUGUCUACAUUGUUCUCGAACCCGUAGGGUCCGCACGCUUAAGGUUACGAUGACAGUUAUAUUAUGAGUUUAUGCAUUUUGAUGUACCGAAGGUUGUUCGGAGUCCCGGAUGUGAUCACGGACAUGACGAGGAGUCUCGAAAUGGUCGAGACAUAAAGAUUGAUCUAUUGGAAGCCUAUGUUUGGAUAUCGGAAGUGUUCCGGGUGAAAUCGGGAUUUUACCGGAGUACCGGGAGAUUACCGGAACCCCCCGGGGAGCUAUAUGGGCCUUAGUGGGCCUUAGUGGAAAAGAGAAGGGGCUGCCCUAGAUGGGCUGCGUGCCACCCUCCCUCCCCUAGUCCUAUUAGGACAAGGAGAGGUGGCCGGCCCCCCCUCUCUCUUUUCCCCCUCCGCGAAUCCUAUUCCAAUUAGGAUUGGGGGGGAGGGAAUCCUACUCCCAGAGGGAGUAGGACUCUCCUGGCAUGCCAAGCUUGGCCGGCCAGCCUCCCCCUCUAGUCCUUUAUAUACUGAGGCAGAGGCACCCCAGAAACACACAAGUUAAUCCACGUGAUCUAUUCCUUAGCCGUGUGCGGUGCCCCCAGCCACCAUAGUCCUCGAUAAUACUAUAGCGGAGUUUAGGCGAAGCCCUGCUGCUGUAGUACAUCAAGAUCGUCACCACGCCGUCGUGCUGACGGAACUCUUCCCUGACACUUUGCUGGAUCGGAGUCCGGGGAUCGUCAUCGAGCUGAACGUGUGCUCGAACUCGGAGGUGCCGUAGUUUCGGUGCUUGAUCGGUUGGAUCGUGAUGACAUACGACUACUUCCUCUACGUUGUGUCAACGCUUCCGCAGUCGGUCUGCGUGGGUACGUAGACAGCACUCUCCCCUCUCGUUGCUAUACAUCACAUGAUCUUGCGUGUGCAUAGGAAUUUUUUUGAAAUUACUACGAAAACCAACAGUGGCAUCCGAGCCUAGGUUAUUUAUGUUGAUGUUAUAUGCACGAGUAGAACACAAGUGAGUUGUGGGCGAUAUAAGUCAUACUGCCUACCAGCAUGUCAUACUUUGGUUUGGCGGCAUUGUUGGACGAGACGACCCGGACCAACAUUACGCGUACGCUUACGCGAGACCGGUUUCCCCGACGUGCUUUGCACACAGGUGGCUUGCGGGCGACUGUCUCUCCAACUUUAGUUGAACCAAGUAUGGCUACGCCCGGUUCUUGCGAAGGUUAAAACGGAGUCUAUUUGACAAACUAUCGUUGUGGUUUUGAUGCGUAGGUGAGAUUGGUUCUUGCUUAAGCCCGUAGCAGCCACGUAAAACUUGCAACAACAAAGUAGAGGACGUCUAACUUGUUUUUGCAGGGCAUGUUGUGAUGUGAUAUGGUCAAGACAUGAUGCUGAAUUUUAUUGUAUGAGAUGAUCAUGUUUUGUAACCGAGUUAUCGGCAACUGGCAGGAGCCUUAUGGUUGUCGCUUUAUUGUAUGCAAUGAAAUCGCGAUGUAAUGCUUUACUUUAUCACUAAGCGGUAGGGAUAGUCGUGGAAGCACAAACUUGGCGAGACGACAACGAUGCUACGAUGGAGAUCAAGGUGUCACGCCGGUGACGAUGGUGAUCACAACGGUGCUUCGGAGAUGGAGAUCACAAGCACAAGAUGAUGAUGGCCAUAUCAUAUCACUUAUAUUGAUUGCAUGUGAUGUUUAUCCUUUUAUGCAUCUUAUCUUGCUUUGAUUGACGGUAGCAUUAUAAGAUGAUCUCUCACUAAAUUAUCAAGAAGUGUUCUCCCUGAGUAUGCACCGUUGCGAAAGUUCUUCGUGCUGAGACACCACGUGAUGAUCGGGUGUGAUAGGUUCUACGUUCAAAUACAACGGGUGCAAAACAGUUGCGCACGCAGAAUACUCAGGUUAUACUUGACGAGCCAAGCAUAUACAGAUAUGGCCUCGGAACACGGAGACCGAAAGGUCGAGCGUGAAUCAUAUGGUAGAUAUGAUCAACAUAACGAUGUUCACCAUUGAAAACUACUCCAUCUCACGUGAUGAUCGGUUAUGGUUUAGUUGAUUUGGAUCACGUAAUCACUUAGAGGAUUAGAGGGAUGUCUAUCUAAGUGGGAGUUCUUUAAUUAAUUUGAUUAACUGAACUUAAAUUUAUCAUGAAACUUAGUACCUGAUUAGUAUCUUGCUUGUUUAUGUUUGAUUGUAGAUAGAUGGCUCGUGCUGUUGUUCCAUUGAAUUUUAAUGCGUUCCUUGAGAAAGCAAAGUUGAAAGAUGAUGGUAGCAAUUACACGGACUGGGUCCGUAACUUGAGGAUCAUCCUCAUUGCUGCACAGAAGAAUUACAUCCUGGAAGCACCGCUGGGUGCCAGGCCUGCUGCAGGAGCAACACCGGUUGUUAUGAACGCCUGGCAGAGCAAAGCUGAUGACUACUCGAUAGUUCAGUGUGCCAUGCUUUACGGCUUAGAAUCGGGACUUCAACGACGUUUUGAACGUCAUGGAGCAUAUGAGAUGUUCCAUGAGUUGAAGUUAGUAUUUCAAGCAAAUGCCCGGAUUGAGAGAUAUGAAGUCUCCAAUAAGUUCUAUAGCUGCAAGAUGGAGGAGAACAGUUCUGUCAGUGAGCAUAUACUCAAAAUGUCUGGGUAUAAUAAUCACUUGAUUCAAUUGGGAGUUAAUCUUCCAGAUGAUUGCGUCAUUGACAGAAUUCUCCAAUCACUGCCACCAAGCUACAAGAGCUUCGUGAUGAACUAUAAUAUGCAAGGGAUGAACAAUACUAUUCUCGAGCUCUUCGCGAUGCUGAAAGCUGCGGAGGUAGAAAUCAAGAAGGAGCAUCAAGUGUUGAUGGUCAACAAGACCACUAGUUUCAAGAAAAAGGGCAAAGGAAAGAAGAAGGGGAACUUCAAGAAAAACGGCAAGCCAGUUGCUGCUCAAGAGAAGAAACCCAAGUCUGGACCUAAUCCUGAAUCUGAGUGCUUCUAUUGCAAGCAGACUGGUCACUGGAAGCGGAACUGCCCCAAGUAUUUGGCGGAUAAGAAGGAUGGCAAGGUGAACAAAGGUAUAUGUGAUAUACAUGUUAUUGAUGUGUACCUUACUAAUGCUCGCAGCAGCACCUGGGUAUUUGAUACUGGUUCUGUUGCUAAUAUUUGCAACUCGAAACAGGGACUACGGAUUAAGCGAAGAUUGGUUAAGGACGAGGUGACGAUGCGCGUGGAAAACGGUUCCAAAGUCGAUGUGAUCGCAGUCGGCACGCUACCUCUACAUCUACCUUCGGGAUUAGUAUUAGACCUAAAUAAUUGUUAUUUGGUGCCAGCGUUAAGCAUGAACAUUAUAUCUGGAUCUUGUUUGAUGCGAGAUGGUUAUUCAUUUAAAUCAUAGAAUAAUGGUUGUUCUAUUUAUAUGAGUAAUAUCUUUUAUGGUCAUGCACCCUUGAAGAGAGGUCUAUUCUUGUUGAAUCUCGAUAGUAGUAACACACAUAUUCAUAAUGUUGAAGCCAAAAGAUGCAGAGUUGAUAAUGAGAGUGCAACUUAUUUGUGGCACUGCCGUUUAGGUCAUAUCGGUGUAAAGCGCAUGAAGAAACUCCAUACUGAUGGACUUUUGGAACCACUUGAUUAUGAAUCACUUGGUACUUGCGAACCGUGCCUCAUGGGCAAGAUGACUAAAACACCGUUCUCCGGUACUAUGGAGAGAGCAACAGAUUUGUUGUAAAUCAUACAUACAGAUGUAUGUGGUCCGAUGAAUAUUGAGGCUCGUGGCAGAUAUCGUUAUUUUCUCACCUUCAUAGAUGAUUUAAGCAGAUAUGGGUAUAUCUACUUAAUAAAACAUAAGUCUGAAACAUUUGAAAAGUUCAAGGAGUUUCAAAGUGAAGUUGAAAAUCAUCGUAACAAGAAAAUCGUGGAGGAGAAUAUUUGAGUUACGAGUUUGGUGUACAUUUGAAAAUUGUUGAAUAGUUUCGCAACUCACGCCACCCGGAACACCACAGCGUAAUGGUGUGUCCGAACAUCGUAAUCGUACUUUACUAGAUAUGGUGCGAUCUAUGAUGUCUCUUACUGAUUUACCGCUAUCGUUUUGGGGAUACGCUCUAGAGACGGCCGCAUUCACGUUAAAUAGGGCACCAUCAAAAUCCGUUGAGACGACGCCUUAUGAACUAUGGUUUGGCAAGAAACCAAAGUUGUCGUUUCUGAAAGUUUGGGGCUGCGAUGCUUAUGUGAAAAAGCUUCAACCUGAUAAGCUCGAACCCAAAUCGGAGAAAUGUGUCUUCAUAGUAUAUCCAAAGGAAACUAUUGGAUACACCUUCUAUCACAGAUCCGAAGGCAAGACUUUUGUUGCUAAAUUCGGAAACUUUCUGGAGAAGGAGUUUCUCUCGAAAGAAGUGAGUGGGAGGAAAGUAGAACUUGACGAGGUGACUGUACCUGCUCCCUUACUGGAAAGUAGUACAUCACAGAAAACUGUUUCAGUGACACCUACACCAGUUAGUGAGGAAGCUAAUGAUAAUGAUCAUGAAACUUCAGAACAAGAUACUACUGAACCUCGUAGAUCAACCAGAGUAAGAUCCGCGCCAGUGUGGUACGCUAAUCCCGUUCUGGAAGUCCUGAUGCUAGAUCAUGAUGAACCUACGAACUAUGAAGAAGCAAUGGUGAGCCCAGAUUCCGCAAAGUGGCUUGAAGCCAUGAAAUCUGAGAUGGGAUCCAUGUAUGAGAACAAAGUAUGGACUUUGGUUGACUUGCCCGAUGAUCGGCAAGCAAUUGAGAAUAAAUGGAUCUUCAAGAAGAAGACUGACGCUGACGGUAAUAUUACUGUCUACAAAGCUCGACUUGUCGCAAAAGGUUUUCGGCAAGUUCAAGGGAUUGACUACGAUGAGACCUUCUCACCCGUAGCGAUGCUUAAGUCUGUCCGAAUCAUGUUAGCAAUUGCCGCAUUUUAUGAUUAUGAAAUUUGGCAGAUGGAUGUCAAAACUGCAUUCCUGAAUGGAUUUCUGGAAGAAGAGUUGUAUAUGAUGCAACUAGAAGGUUUUGUCGAUCCAAAGGGAGCUAACAAAGUGUGCAAGCUCCAGCGAUCCAUUUAUGGACUGGUGCAAGCCUCUCGGAGUUGGAAUAAACGUUUUGGUAGUGUGAUCAAAGCAUUUGGUUUUAUACAGACUUUUGGAGAAGCCUGUAUUUACAAGAAAGUGAGUGGGAGCUCUAUAUCAUUUCUGAUAUUAUAUGUGGAUGACAUAUUAUUAAUUGGAAAUGAUAUAGAAUUUCUGGAUAGCAUAAAAGGAUACUUGAAUAAAAGUUUUUCAAUGAAAGACCUCGGUGAAGCUGCUUACAUAUUAGGCAUUAAGAUCUAUAGAGAUAGAUCAAAACGCUUAAUUGGACUUUCACAAACAACAUACCUUGACAAAAUUUUGAAGAAGUUCAAAAUGGAUCAAGCAAAGAAAGGGUUCUUGCCUGUGUUACAAGGUGUGAGAUUGAGUAAGACUCAAAGCCCGACCACUGCAGAAGAUAGAGAGAAAAUGAAAGAUGUUCCCUAUGCUUCAGCCAUAGGCUCUAUCAUGUAUGCAAUGCUGUGUACCAGACCUGAUGUGUGCCUUGCUAUAAGUUUAGCAGGGAGGUACCAAAGUAAUCCAGGAGUGGAUCACUGGACAGCGGUCAAGAACAUCCUGAAAUACCUGAAAAGGACUAAGGAUAUGUUUCUCGUAUAUGGAGGUGACAAAGAGCUCACCGUAAAAGGUUACGUUGAUGCAAGCUUUGACACUGAUCUGGACGAUUCUAAAUCGCAAACCGGAUACGUGUUUACAUUAAACGGUGGAGCUGUUAGUUGGUGCAGUUCUAAACAAAGCGUCGUAGCAGGAUCUACAUGUGAAGCGCAGUACAUAGCUGCUUCAGAAGCAGCAAACGAAGGAGUCUGGAUGAAGGAGUUCAUAUCCGAUCUAGGUGUCAUACCUAGUGCAUCGGGUCCAAUGAAAAUCUUUUGUGACAAUACUGGUGCAAUUGCCUUGGCAAAGGAAUCCGGGUUUCACAAAAGGACCAAGCACAUCAAGAGACGCUUCAAUUCCAUCCGGGAUCUAGUCCAGGUGGAGACAUAGAGAUUUGCAAGAUACAUACGGAUCUGAAUGUUGCAGACCCGUUGACUAAGCCUCUUCCACGAGCAAAACAUGAUCAGCACCAAGACUCCAUGGGUGUUAGAAUCAUCACAAUGUAAUCUAGAUUAUUGACUCUAGUGCAAGUGGGAGACUGAAGGAAAUAUGCCCUAGAGGCAAUAAUAAAGUUAUUAUUUAUUUCCUUAUAUCAUGAUAAAUGUUUAUUAUUCAUGCUGGAAUUGUAUUAACCGGAAACAUAAUACAUGUGUAAAUACAUAGACAAACUUAGUGUCACUAGUAUGCCUCUACUUGACUAGCUCGUUAAUCAAAGAUGGUUAUGUUUCCUAACCAUGAACAAAGUGUUGUUAUUUGAUUAACGGGAUCACAUCAUUAAGAGAAUGAUCUGAUUGACAUGACCCAUUCCAUUAGCUUAGCACCCAAUCGUUUAGUAUGUUGCUAUUGCUUUCUUCAUGACAUAUACAUGUUCCUAUGACUAUGAGAUUAUGCAACUCCCGUUUGCCGGAGGAGCACUUUGGGUGCUACCAAACGUCACAACGUGACUGGGUGAUUAUAAAGGAGCAUUACAAGUGUGUCCAAAGGUAGAUGUUGGGUUGGCGUAUUUCGAGAUUAGGAUUUGUCACUUCGAAUGUCGGAGAGGUAUCUGUGGGCCCUCUCGGUAAUGCACAUCACAUAAGCCUUGCAAGCAUUGCAACUAAUGAGUUAGUUGCGAGAUGAUGUAUUACGGAACGAGUAAAGAGACUUGCCGGUAAUGAGAUUGAACUAGGUAUUGGAAUACCGACGAUCGAAUCUCGGGCAAGUAACAUACCGAUGACAAAGGGAACAACGUAUGUUGUUAUGCGGUCUGACCGAUAAAGAUCUUCGUAGAAUAUGUAGGAGCCAGUAUGGGCAUCCAGGUCCCGCUAUUGGUUAUUUACCGGAGACGUGUCUCGGUCAUGUCUACAUUGUUCUCGAACCCGUAGGGUCCGCACGCUUAAGGUUACGAUGACAGUUAUAUCAUGAGUUUAUGCAUUUUGAUGUACAGAAGGUUGUUCGGAGUCCCGGAUGUGAUCACGGACAUGACGAGGAGUCUCGAAAUGGUCGAGACAUAAAGAUUGAUAUAUUGGAAGCCUAUGUUUGGAUAUCGGAAGUGUUUCGGGUGAAAUCGGGAUUUUACCGGAGUACCGGGAGGUUACCGGAACCCCCCGAGGAGCUAUAUGGGCCUUAGUGGGCCUUAGUGGAAAAGAGAAGGGGCUGCCCUAGAUGGGCUGCGCGCCACCCUCCCUCCCCUAGUCCUAUUAGGACAAGGAGAGGUGGCCGGGCCCCCCUCUCUUUUCCCCCUCCACGAAUCCUAUUCCAACUAGGAUUGGGGGGGGGGGGGAAUCCUACUCCCAGAGGGAGUAGGACUCUCCUGGCGCGCCAAGCUUGGCUGGCCAGCCUCCCCCCCUCUAGUCCUUUAUAUACUGAGGCAGAGGCACCCUAGAAACACACAAGUUGAUCCACGUGAUCUAUUCCUUAGCCGUGUGCGGCGCCCCCAGCCACCAUAGUCCUUGAUAAUACUGUAGCAGAGUUUAGGCGAAGCCCUGCUGCUGUAGUACAUCAAGAUUGUCACCACGCCGUCGUGCUGACGGAACUCUUCCCCGACACUUUGCUGGAUCGGAGUCCGGGGAUCGUCGUCGAGCUGAACGUGUGCUCGAACUCGGAGGUGCCGUAGUUUCGGUGCUUGAUCGGUUGGAUCGUGAAGACGUACGACUACUUCCUCUAUGUUGUGUCAACGCUUCCGCAGUCGGUUUGCGUGGGUACGUAGACAGCACUCUCCCCUCUCGUUGCUAUACAUCACAUGAUCUUGUGUGUGCGUAGGAAAUUUUUUGAAAUUACUACGAAACCCAACAAAUCGGCCAUUUAAUCAAUUAAUCGGAUGAUUUAUCAGUUUAUCGGCUACUCGGUGACCCUAUGAGUAGGGAUUAAUCGGCAAGUUAACUGGUUAAUCUGAUGAAUUCUUGAACAGGGGAAUUGUAUACGGAUUGAUUGAAUCCUCAACAUCGUGGUUCAUCCGAUGAGAUCAUCGUGGAGAAUGUGGGAGCCAACAUGGGUAUCCAUAUCCCGCUGUUGGUUAUUGACCGGAGAGGCUUCUCGGUCAUGUCUGCAUGUCUCCCGAACCCGUAGGGUCUACACACUUAAGGUUCGGUGACGCUAGGGUUGUUAGGAAGACUUGUAUGUGAUUACCGAAUGUUGUUCGGAUUCCCGGAUGUGAUCCCGGACGUCACGAGGAGUUCCGGAAUGGUCCGGAGGUAAAGAUUUAUAUAUGGGAAGUUGUCAUACGGUCGCCGGAAAGGUUCGGGGGCAUAUCAGUAUUGUACCGAGGCCACCGGAGGGGUUCCGAGGGUUCACCGGGAGGGUCCACCUCUUCCGGAGGGCCUUAUGGGCUGUAUGGAGAAGAGAACCAGCCCAAGUGGGCUGGGGCGCCACACCCCCCUAGGUCCCAUGCGCCUAGGGUUGGGGGAAACCCUAAGGGGGGGCACCCCCUUGCUUGGGGGGCAAGCCCCCCUCCCCUUGGCUGCCCCCCCUCUAGAUCUCAUCUAGAGGGGGCCGGCCCCCUUCCCGCUUCCCCUAUAAAUAGAGGGGUGAGGGGAGGGCUGCACACAACAUCCAAGGCGCAACCCCUCCCCUCCCCAACACCUCUCCUCCUCCAUAAGAGCUUGGCGAAGCCCUGCCGGAGUACUACAACUUCAUCACCACCACGCCGUCGUGCUGCUGUUGGAGCCCUCUUCCUCAACCUCUCCCUCCUCCUUGCUGGAUCAAGGCGCGGGAGACGUCCUCGCUCCGUACGUGUGUUGAACGCGGAGGUGUCGUCCGUUCGGCGCUAGGAUCUUCGGUGAUUUGAAUCACGUCGAGUACGACUCCAUCAUCCCGUUCUCUUGAACGCUUCCGCUCGUGAUCUACAAGGGUAUGUAGAUGCACUCCUCUCUCCCUCGUUGCUAGAUGACUACAUAGAUUGAUCUUGGUGAUGCGUAGAAAAUUUUAAAAUUCUGCUACGUUACCCAACAGUGGCAUCAUGAGCUAGGUCUAUGCGUAGUUACUAUGCACGAGUAGAACACAAAGUAGUUGUGGGCAUUGAUAUUGUCAAUUUGCUUGCCAUUACUAGUCUUAUCUUGAUUCGGCAGCAUCGUGGGAUGAAGCGGCCCGGACCAACCUUACACGUACGCUUACAUGAGACCGGUUCCACCGACUGACAUGCACUAGUUGCAUAAGGUGGCUGGCGGGUGUCUGUCUCUCCCACUUUACUCAGACCGAAUUCGAUGAACAGGGUCCUUAUGAAGGGUAAAUAGAAAUUGGCAAUUCACGUUGUGGUUUUGGCGUAGGUAAGAAAUGUUCUUGCUAGAAACCUAUAGCAGCCACGUAAAAACUUGCAACAACAAUUAGAGGACGUCUAACUUGUUUUUGCAGCAAGUGUUUUGUGAUGUGAUAUGGCCAAAGGAUGUGAUGUAUGAGAUGAUCAUGUUCUUGUAAUAGGAAUCACGACUUGCAUGUCGAUGAGUAUGACAACCGGCAGGAGCCAUAGGAGUUGUCUUUAUUUAUUUAUGACCUGCGUGUCAACAUAAACGUCAUGUAAUUACUUUACUUUAUUGCUAAAGCGGUAGCCAUAGUAGUAGAAGUAAUAGUUGACGUGACAACUUCAAGAAGACGCGAUGAUGGAGAUCAUGGUGUCAUGCCGGUGACAACGAUGAUCAUAGAGCCCCGAAGAUGGAGAUCAAAGGAGCAAAUGAUAUUGGCCAUAUCAUGUCACUAUUUGAUUGCAUGUGAUGUUUAUCAUGUUUUACAUCUUAUUUGCUUAGAACGACGGUAGCAUAAAUAAGAUGAUCCCUCGUAAAAUUUCAAGAAAGUGUUCCCCCUAACCGUGCACCGUUGUGAAGGUUCGUUGUUUCGAAGCACCACGUGAUGAUCGGGUGUGAUAGAUUCUAACGUUCGAAUACAACAGGUGUAAGACAAAUUUACACACGCAAUACACUUAGGUUGACUUGACGAGCCUAGCAUGUACAGACAUGGCCUCGGAACACAGAAGACCGAAAGGUCGAGCAUGAGUCGUAUAGAAGAUAUGAUCAACAUGAAGAUGUUCACCGAUGUUGACUAGUCUGUCUCACGUGAUGAUCGGACACAGCCUAGUUAACUCGGAUCAUGUUAUACUUAGAUGACUGGAGGGAUGUCUAUUUGAGUGGGAGUUCAAUGAAUAAUUUGAUUAGAUGAACUUAAUUAUCAUGAACUUAGUCUAAAAUCUUUACAAUAUGUCUUGUAGAUCAAAUGGCCAACGUUGUCCUCAACUUCAACACGUUCCUAGAGAAAACCAAGCUGGAAGACGAUGGCAGCAACUAUACGGACUGGGUCCGGAACCUGAGGAUCAUCCUCAUAGCUGCCAAGAAAGAUUAUGUCCUACAAGCACCGCUAGGUGACGCACCCGUCCCACAGAACCAAGACGUUAUGAAUGCUUGGCAGACACAUGCUGAUGAUUACUCCCUCGUUCAGUGCGGCAUGCUUUACAGCUUAGAACCGGGGCUCCAAAAGCGUUUUGAGAGACACGGAGCAUAUGAGAUGUUCGAAGAGCUGAAAAUGGUUUUUCAAGCUCAUUCCCGGGUCGAGAGAUAUGAGGUCUCCGACAAGUUCUUCAGCUGUAAGAUGGAGGAAAAUAGUUCUGUCAGUAAGCACAUACUCAAAAUGUCUGGGUUGCAUAACCGCUUGACUCAGCUGGGAGUUAAUCUCCCGGAUGACGUGGUCAUUGACAGAAUCCUUCGGUCGCUUCCACCGAUCUACAAGAGGUUUGUGAUGAAAUUCAAUAUGCAGGGGAUGGAAAAGACCAUUCCUGAAGUAUUUGCAAUGCUAAAAUCAGCAGAGGUAGAAGUCAAAAAGGAACAUCAAGUGUUGAUGGUGAAUAAAACCACUAAGUUCAAGAAAGGCAAGGGUAAGAAGAACUUCAAGAAGGACGGCAAGGGAGUUGCCGCGCCCGUUAAGCAAGCUGCCGGGAAGAAGCCAAAGAAUGGACCCAAGCCCGAGACUGAGUGUUUUUAUUGCAAGGGAAGUGGUCACUGGAAGCGGAACUGCCCCAAAUACUUAGCGGACAAGAAGGCCGGCAUCACGAAAGGUAUAUGUGAUAUACAUGUAAUUGAUGUGUACCUUACCAGUACUCAUAGUAGCUCCUGGGUAUUUGAUACCGGUGCGGUUGCUCACAUUUGUAACUCAAAGCAGGAGCUGCGGAAUAAGUGGAGACUGGCCAAGGACGAGGUGACGAUGCGCGUCGGGAAUGGUUCCAAGGUCGAUGUGAUCGCCAUCGGCACGCUACCUCUACAUUUACCUACGGGGUUAGUUUUAAACCUCAAUAAUUGUUAUUUAGUGCCAGCUUUGAGCAUGAACAUUGUAUCAGGAUCUCGUUUAAUUUGAGAUGGCUACUCAUUUAAAUCCGAGAAUAAUGGUUGUUCUAUUUAUAUGAGAGAUAUGUUUUAUGGUCAUGCUCCGAUGGUGAAUGGUUUAUUCUUAAUGAAUCUCGAGCGUAAUGCUACACAUAUUCAUAGUGUGAAUACCAAAAGAUGUAAGGUUGAUAAUGAUAGUCCCACAUACUUGUGGCACUGCCGCCUUGGUCACAUAGGUGUCAAACGCAUGAAGAAGCUCCAUGCAGAUGGACUUUUAGAGUCUCUUGAUUACGGAUCAUUUGACACGUGCGAACCGUGCCUCAUGGGUAAAAUGACCAAGACUCCGUUCUCAGGAACAAUGGAGCGAGCAACCAACUUAUUGGAAAUCAUACAUACUGAUGUGUGCGGUCUAAUGAGUGUUGAGGCUCGCGGUGGCUAUCGUUAUGUUCUCACCCUCACUGAUGACUUGAGUAGAUAUGGGUAUGUCUACUUAAUGAAACACAAGUCUGAGACCUUUGAAAAGUUCAAGGAAUUUGAGAGUGAGGUUGAGAAUCAACGUGACAGGAAAAUCAAGUUCUUGCGAUCAGAUCGUGGGGGAGAGUACUUGAGUCACGAAUUUGGCACACACUUAAGAAAAUGUGGAAUAGUUUCACAACUAACGCCGCCUGGAACACCUCAGCGUAAUGGUGUGUCCGAACGUCAUAAUCGCACUCUAUUAGAUAUGGUGCGAUCUAUGAUGUCUCUUACCGAUUUACCGCUAUCAUUUUGGGGCUAUGCUUUAGAGACUGCCGCAUUCACUUUAAAUAGGGCUUCGUCGAAAUCCGUUGAGACGACACCGUAUGAAUUAUGGUUUGGGAAGAAACCUAAGCUGUCGUUUCUAAAAGUUUGGGGAUGCAAUGCUUAUGUCAAGAAACUUCAACCUGAAAAGCUCGAACCCAAGUCGGAAAAAUGCAUAUUCAUAGGAUACCCUAAAGAAACUGUUGGGUAUACCUUCUACCUCAGAUCCGAAGGCAAGAUCUUUGUUGCCAAGAAUGGGUCCUUUCUAGAGAAAGAGUUUCUCUCGAAAGAAAUAAGUGGGAGGAAGGUAGAACUUGAUGAAGUAUUACCUCUUGAACCGGUAAGUGGCGCAGCUCAAGAAAAUGUUCCUGAGGUGCCUGCACCGACUAGGGAGGUAGUUGAUGAUGAUGAUCAUGAAACUUCAGAUCAAGUUGCUACUGAACUUCGUAGGUCCACAAGGACACGUUUCGCGCCAGAGUGGUACGGCAACCCUGUCUUGGAAAUCAUGUUGUUAGACAAUGGUGAACCUUUGAACUAUGAAGAAGCGAUGGCGGGCCCGGAUUCCGACAAAUGGCUGGAAGCCAUGAAAUCCGAGAUAGGAUCCAUGUAUGAAAACGAAGUAUGGACUUUGACUGACUUGCCCGUUGAUCGGCGAGCCAUAGAAAAUAAAUGGAUCUUUAAGAAGAAGACAGACGCGGAUGGUAAUGUGACCAUCUAUAAAGCUCGGCUUCUCGCUAAGGGUUAUCGACAAGUUCAAGGGGUUGACUACGAUGAGACUUUCUCACCCGUAGCGAAGCUGAAGUCCGUCCGAAUCAUGUUAGCAAUUACCGCAUUCUAUGAUUAUGAGAUAUGGCAAAUGGACGUCAAAACGGCAUUCCUUAAUGGUUUCCUUAAGGAAGAAUUGUAUAUGAUGCAGCCGGAAGGUUUUGUCGAUCCUAAGAAUGCUGACAAGGUGUGCAAGCUCCAACGCUCGAUUUAUGGGCUGGUGCAAGCAUCUCGGAAUUGGAACAUUCGCUUUGAUGAGAUGAUCAAAGCGUUUGGGUUUAUGCAGACUUAUGGAGAAGCCUGCAUUUACAAGAAAGUGAGUGGGAGCUCUGUAGCAUUUAUCAUAUUAUAUGUGGAUGACAUACUGUUGAUGGGAAAUGAUAUAGAAUUCUUGGAAAGCAUAAAGGCCUACUUGAACAAGUGUUUUUCGAUGAAGGACCUUGGAGAAGCUGCUUAUAUAUUAGGCAUCAAGAUCUGUAGAGAUAGAUCGAGACACCUCAUUGGUCUUUCACAGAGUACGUACCUUGACAAGAUAUUGAAGAAGUUCAAAAUGGAUCAGUCAAAGAAGGGGUUCUUGCCUGUAUUGCAAGGUACGAGAUUGAGCACGGCUCAAUGCCCGACCAUGGCAGAAGAUAAAGAAAAGAUGAGUGUCGUUCCCUAUGCCUCGGCCAUAGGGUCUAUCAUGUAUGCUAUGCUGUGUACCAGACCUGAUGUAAACCUUGCCGUGAGUUUGGUAGGAAGGUACCAAAGUAAUCCCGGCAUGGAACACUAGACAGCGGUCAAGAAUAUCCUGAAGUACCUGAAAAGGACUAAGGAAAUGUUUCUCGUUUAUGGAGGUGACGAAGAGCUCGUCGUAAAGGGUUACGUCGAUGCUAGCUUCGACACAGAUCUGGAUGACUCUAAGUCACAAACCGGAUACGUGUAUAUUUUGAAUGGUGGUUCAGUAAGCUGGUGCAGUUGCAAGCAAAGCAUUGUGGCGGGAUAUACAUGUGAAGCGGAGUACAUGGCAGCCUCGGAGGCAGCACAAGAAGCAGUCUGGGUGAAGGAGUUCAUUACCGACCUAGGAGUCAUACCCAAUGCGUCGGGCCCGAUGACUCUCUUCUGUGACAACACUGGAGCUAUUGCCCUUGCCAAGGAGCCCAGGUUUCACAGGAAGACCAGGCAUAUCAAGCGUCGUUUCAACUCCAUUCAUGAAAGUGUUCAAAGUGGAGACAUAGAGAUUUGUAAAGUACAUAUGGACCUGAAUGUAGCAGAUCCGUUGACUAAACCUCUCCCUAGAGCAAAACAUGAUCAACACCAGAACUGCAUGGGUGUUCGAUUCAUCACAAUGUAACUAGAAUAUUGACUCUAGUGCAAGUGGGAGACUGUUGGAAAUAUGCCCUAGAGGCAAUAAUAAAAUGGUUAUUAUUAUAUUUCUUUGUUCAUGAUAAUUGUCUAUUGUUCAUGCUAUAAUUGUGUUAUCCGGAAAUCGUAAUACAUGUGUGAAUACAUAGACCACAACACGUCCCUAGUGAGCCUCUAGUUGACUAGCUCGUUGAUCAAAAGAUAGUCAUGGUUUCCUGACUAUGGACAUUGGAUGUCAUUGAUAACGGGAUCACAUCAUUAGGAGAAUGAUGUGAUGGACAAGACCCAAUCCUAAGCUUAGCUCAAAGAUCGUGUAGUUCGUUUGCUGUAGCUUUUCUGAAUGUCAAGUAUCAUUUCCUUAGACCAUGAGAUUGUGCAACUCCUGGAUAUCGUAGGAGUGCCUUGGGUGUGCCAAACAUCACAACGUAACUAGGUGACAAUAAAGGUACAUUACAGGUAUCUCCGAAAGUGUCUGUUGGGUUGGCACGAAUCGAGACUGGGAUUUGUCACUCCGUAUGAUGGAGAGGUAUCUCUGGGCCCACUCGGUAAUGCAUCAUCAUGAUGAGCUCAAUGUGAUCAAGUGGUUGAUCACGGGAUCAUGCAUUACAGUACGAGUAAAGUGACUUGCCGGUAACGAGACUGAACAAGGUAUUGGGAUACCGACGAUCGAGUCUUGGGAAAGUAACGUACCGAUUGACAAAGGGAACUGUAUAUGGAUUGAUUGAAUCCUCAACAUUGUGGUUCAUCCGAUGAGAUCAUCGUGGAGCAUGUGGGAGCCAACAUGGGUAUCCAUAUCCCGCUGUUGGUUAUUGACCGGAGAGGCUUCUCGGUCAUGUCUGCAUGUCUCCCGAACCCGUAGGGUCAACACACUUAAGGUUCGGUGACGCUAGGGUUGUUAGGAAGACUUGUAUGUGAUUAACGAAUGUUGUCCGGAGUCCCAGAUGUGAUCUCGGACGUCACGAGGAGUUCCGGAAUGGUCCGUAGGUAAAGAUUUAUAUAUGGGGAGUUGUCAUACGGUCGCCAGAAAGGUUCGGGGGCAUAUCGGUAUUGUACCGGGGCCACCGGAGGGGUUCCGGGGGUUCACCGGGAGGGUCCACCUCUUCCGGAGGGCCUUAUGGGCUGUAUGGAGAAGGGAACCAGCCCAAGUGGGCUGGGGCGCCACACUCCCCUAGGGCCCAUGCGCCUAGGGUUGGGGGAAACCCUAAGGGGGGGCGCCCCCUUGCUUGGGGGGUAAGCCCCCCUCCCCUUGGCCGCCGCCCCCCCUCUAGAUCUCAUCUAGAGGGGGCCGUCCCCCUUCCCCCUUCCCCUAUAAAUAGAGGGGUGAGGGGAGGGCUGCACACAACAUCCAAGGCGCAACCCCUCCCCUCCCCAACACCUCUCCUCCUCCAUAAGAGCUUGGCGAAGCCCUGCCAGAGUACUGCAGCUUCAUCACCACCACGCCGUCGUGCUGCUGUUGGAGACCUCUUCCUUAACCUCUCCCUCCUCCUUGCUGGAUCAAGGCGCGGGAGACGUCCUCGCUCCGUACGUGUGUUGAACGCGGAGGUGCCGUCCAUUCGGCGCUAGGAUCUUCGGUGAUUUGAAUCACGUCGAGUACGACUCCAUCAUCCCGUUCUCUUGAACGCUUCCGCUCGUGAUCUACAAGGAUAUGUAGAUGCACUCCUCUCUCCCUCGUUGCUAGAUGACUACAUAGAUUGAUCUUGGUGAUGCAUAGAAAAUUUUAAAAUUCUGCUACGUUACCCAACAGUGGCCUGACGCUUUGUCGGACUUGGAGGAGGAGGAGUGGCCUGAAGUUGUGCCGGACUUGGACGAGGAGUGGCCUGACGCGUUGGUGGACUUGGAUGAGCGGGAGUCUGCUGACUCGUUGGCGGACUUCGACGAGGAGUCGGAUGACGUGGUGUCCGUGGCCUUCGAAAGAUGAUGCAAUCCUUUCUCCAUAGGAUGAUACGAUGGUUGGCCUCUCCCAGUGUGUGCUCCUCAUCACCUCCAGGAAUGUCAAGCUCUAGCCUCGAAUAUUGGUCCACCACCUCAUCAACCAAGACACGAGCAUAGCCCGCUGGAAUCGGGUUGCAAUGGAAGGUUGCCUCGGGGGGAUUUGUAAAAGCAAGGGCGUCCGCCACCUUCAUGGAUAUGUUCUUCAUUUUGAAGUGUAGCUCGCAGUUAGUGUUCUCCAUGAUGUCAUCCACUGGGUAGCUAUCCAGCAAUGCAUCGCCCGGGGCGGAACCCACGCUGCUUCUCGGCAUGGAUGGGACGGUGCUAUCCAAUGCUGGAUCAUCCACUAGCUGCUGCAGCUGCUGAGAUCCCCUUUGUUGGCUAAGUGAGUCGAUCUGCUCCUGCUGCCGCUGGAAUUUGACUGCCAAGUCCGCGUGCGCUGAUUCUAGGCCUUGAAGGCGUUCAUAGUCCAGCUUCCUCUGCUCCUCCUCCAUCUUCCUCUUCUUAUCCUCCACAAUCUUCUUUCUCGCACAGGUUCUGUAGUCGGCGUUCCAGUCCGAAAACCCCUCAUACCACGGAAUAGCGCCCUUGCCUCGUGUUCUUCCCAGGUGUUCAGGAUUUCCCAGGGCACGCGUAAGCUUGUCGUUCUCUCUGUUGGGCUGGAACACCCCCGAUCGAGCCUCUUCUAUUGCAACAAGUAGCUUAUCUUCGGCUCCGUCCAGACAUGCCUUCUUCGAAACUUUGCCUGUCUUCGGCUCCAACUCCCCCCCAUGCGCAUAGAACCAAGUCCUGCACCUGGGGGGGGGGGCAGCUCAAUGUUUCUGGAGUGACACCUGCAUCCUCCAUCUCUUUCUCAUACUUAUCCCACUUAGGCAUUCCCACGGCAUAGCCACCUGGCCCAAGCUUAUGGAACUUAUCCUUUUUUGCGGCAUUGGCCUUGUUUAUUCUCGACCGUUCCUUAGAUAAUUCCGAAUCCUUGAAUUUCACGAAAUCGUCCCAAUGAGCACUUUGCUUCUCUAGUGUUCCCUCGAAUACUGGAGUCUUCCUUCCUCCCUUGACGUACUUGUCCCAUUCACGAUUCUUGUGGUUGUUGAAUGCAACCGCCAUCUUCCUAAGAGCAGCGUCCUUGACUUUCUCCACAUCUGCAUCUGUGAAAUGAUCUGGUAGGGUGAAAUGUUCCAUGAGCGUUUCUCAAAGGAGAAGUUUUUGUCUCUCGUCGACAAAAGUAACUCCUGGACGUGGCUUUGCUGGCUCUCUCCAUUCUUGAAGGGAGAUCGGGAGUUGGUCCUUCACAAGAACUCCGCACUAACGAAUGAACUUGUCCGCAAUCUUCUUAGGCGCUAAUUGUUUGCCAUUAGGUUUGAUGGCCUCGAUAUUGUACUUUACGCCCUCCUUCAACUUUUUGUUCGGUCCUCGUUUCCUGUUGCCUGAAGAUUUGCUCGAUCCGGAUGGCUGAAAGAAGAAAGAUCGAUUCAUUAAUAUAUCUUCAAGUCAUUUAAAACAUGUGAUGAUCACCAGAUGCCUGCUUAUAUAAAUAUAUAUACCUCGCCGGUCUUUGUUGUUUCAAGAUCAACAUUUUCUUCGUCAUCUUCAUAGUUCAUGACUUCAUCAAUUCGGUUGUCGCGAUCGAAUAUCAUAUCACCCUCCCCGGUGUUGUUUAGAUAUUCGGAGCCGUCAUAAUCUUCUUCAUUCUGAUCAUCAUCUGGCCCGCGAGGAUUGCGUAUGAUAUUGAACACGGCCUCUUCUCCCUCUCUGCCAGUAUUGUCCGCCAUAGGUGAUACGUCUCCAACGUAUCUAUAAUUUUUGAUUGCUCCAUGCUAUAUUAUCUACUGUUUUGGACUAUAUUGGGCUUUAUUUUCCACUUUUAUAUUAUUUUUGGGACUAACCUAUUAACCGGAGGCCCAGCCCAGAAUUGCUGUUUUUUGCCUAUUUCAGUGUUUCGGAUAAACAGAAUAUCAAACGGAGUCCAAACGGAAUAAAAUCUUCGGGAACGUGAUUUUCUCACCGAACGUGAUCCAGGAGACUUGGACCCUACUGCAAGGGAUCAAAGAGGAGGUCACGAGGGUGGGGGCGCCCCCCUAAGGCGCGCCCCCCUGCCUCGUGGGCCCCCUCGGUGCUCCACCGACGUACUCCUUCCUCCUAUAUAUACAGACGUACCCCCAAACGAUCAGAACAGGAGCCAAAAACCUAAUUCCACCGCCGCAACUUCCUCUAUCCACGAGAUCCCAUCUUGGGGCCUGUUCCGGAGCUCCGCCGGAAGAGGGCCGUCAUCACGGAGGGCUUCUACAUCAUCCUAGCCCCUCCAAUGAAGUGUGAGUAGUUUACCUCAGACCUUCGGGUCCAUAGUUAGUAGCUAGAUGGCUUCUUCUCUCUCUUUGAAUCUCAAUACAAAGUUCUCCCCCUCUCUUGUGGAGAUCUAUUCGAUGUAAUCUUCUUUUUGCGGUGUGUUUGUUGAGACCGAUGAAUUGUGGGUUUAUGAUCAAGUCUAUCUAUGAAUAAUAUUUGAAUCUUCUCUGAAUUCUUUUAUGUACGAUUGGUUAUCUUUGCAAGUCUCUUCGAAUUAUCCGUUUGGUUUGGCCAACUAGAUUGGUAGUUCUUGCCAUGGGAGAAGUGCUUAGCUUUGGGUUCGAUCUUGUGGUGUCCUUACCCAGUGACAGAAGGGGCAGCAAGGCACGUAUUGCAUCAUUCCCAUCGAGGAUAACAAGAUGGGGUUUAUUUCAUAUUUCAUGAAUUGAUCUCUCUACAUCAUGUCAUCUUGCUUAAAGUGUUACUCUGUUUUUAACUUAAUACUCUAGAUGCAUGCUGGAUAGCGGUCGAUGAGUGGAGUAAUAGUAGUAGAUGCAGAAUCGUUUCGAUCUACUUGUCAUGGACGUGAUGCCUAUAUACAAGAUCAUGCCUAGAUAUUCUCAUAACUAUGCUCCAUUCUGUCAAUUGCUCAACACUAAUUUGUUCACCCACCGUAGAAUACUUAUGCUCUUGAGAGAAGCCACUAGUGAAACCUAUGGCCCCCGAGUCUAUUCUCAUCAUAUCAAUCUCCAUUACUUUAAUCUUGCUUUGCUUUUUUACUUUGCCUUUACUUUUUACUUUGCAUCAUUAUACCAAAAAUACCAAAAAUAUUAUAUCUAUCAGAUCUCACUCUCGUAAGUGACCGUGAAGGGUUUGACAACCCCUAAUCGCGUUGGUUGCGAGUAGCUAUCGCUUUGUGCAGGUACGAGGGACUUGAGCGUGGGCUCCUACUAGAUUGAUACCUUGGUUCUCAAAAACUGAGGGAAAUACUUACGCUACUCUGCUGCAUCAUCCCUUCCUCUUCGGGGAAAACCAACGCAAGCUCAAGACGUGGCAAGAAGGAUUUCUGGCGCCGUUGCCGGGGAGUCUACGCAAAAAGUCAAUAUACCAAGUACCCAUCACAAUCCCUAUCUCUCGCAUUACAUUAUUUGCCAUUUGCCUCUCGUUUUCCUCUCCCCCCAAUUCACCCUUGCCGUUUUAUUCGCCCUCUCUCUCUCUCUCUUUAUCCUCCCUCUCUAUUUGCCUCUUUUUGCCCGUUUGCUUUUUGUUUGCCCGUGUGUUAGAUUGCUUGUUUGUCGCGAUGGCUCAAGAUACUACUAAAUUGUGUGACUUCACCAAUACCAAUAAUAAUGAUUUCCUUAGCACUCCGAUUGCUCCUCUUACCUAUGCUGAAUCUUGUGAAAUUAAUACUGCUUUGUUGAAUCUUGUCAUGAAAGAUCAAUUCGCUGGCCUUCCUAGCGAAGAUGCCGCUACUCAUCUGAAUAGCUUCGUUGAUUUAUGUGAUAUGCAAAAGAAAAAAGAUGUCAAUAAUGAUGUCGUUAAAUUGAAGCUAUUUCCUUUUUCUCUUAGGGAUCGUGCUAAAUCUUGGUUUUCGUCUUUGCCUAAGAAUAGUGUAGAUUCAUGGAACAAGUGCAAAGAUGCUUUUAUCUCUAAGUAUUUUCCUCCCGCUAAGAUCAUCUCUCUUAGAAACGAUAUAAUGAACUUUAAACAACUUGAUCAUGAACAUGUUGCACAAGCUUGGGAGAGAAUGAAUUUAAUGAUACGUAAUUGCCCUACUCAUGGUUUGACUUUGUGGAUGAGGAUACAAAAUUUUUAUGCCGGAUUGAAUUUUGCUUCUAGAAAUCUUUUAGAUUCGGCCGCGGGAGGCACUUUUAUGGAAAUCACUUUAGGAGAUGCUACUAAACUCCUAGAUAAUAUUAUGAUUAAUUAUUCUUAAUGGCAUACUGAAAGAACUUCUAAUAAAAAAGUGCAUGCGAUAGAAGAAAUUAAUGUGUUGAGUGGAAAGAUGGAUGAACUUAUGAAAUUAUUUGCUACUAAGAGUGUUUCUUCUGAUCCUAAUGAUAUGCCUUUGUCUACUUUGAUUGAGAAUAACAAUGAAUCUAUGGAUGUGAAUUUUGUUGGUAGGAAUAAUUUUGGUAACAACGCUUAUAGAGGGAAUUUUAAUCCUAGGCCAUAUCCUAGUAAUCCUUCUAAUAAUUAUGGGAAUUCCUACAACAACUCUUAUGGAAAUUAUAAUAAGAUGCCCUAUGAUUUGAAUCUAAUAUUAAUGAAUUUAUUUCUUUGCAAAAGAAUUUUAAUUCUAUGAUUGAAGAAAAAUUGCUUAAGAUUGAUGAUUUGUCUAGGAACGUUGAUAGAAUUGCUCUUGAUGUUGAUGCUUUGAAACUUAGAUCUAUUCCACCUAAGCAUGAUAUUAAUGAGUCUCUAAAAUCCAUGAGAACUUCAAUUGAUGAGUGUAAAUAAAGAACCGCUAGGAUGCGUGCUUCCAAAGAUGCCUUUAUUAAAGCGUGUUCUUCCAAUUCCUAUGAAAAUCAAGAUGAAGAUCUAAAAGUUAUUCAUGUGUCCCCAAUUAAAUCUUCAUUUUGCAAUAUUAAUCUUGAUGAAACUGAAUAUGAUCUUCCUUUACCUAGAAGGCGUUCUAAAAAUUCGGAGUGUUUAGAUCUUAAUGAUGAAAUUGAUGAAAGUGGGACUGAAAGAAAUAAAAAUCUAGAUGUUGCUAAACCCACUAUAUUGGAUUUCAAGGAAUUUAAUUAUGAAAGUUGCUCUUUGAUUGAUUGUAUUUCCUUGUUGCAAUCCGUGCUAAAUUCUCCACAUGCUUAUAGUUGAAAUAAAGCCUUCACCGAACAUAUUGUUGAUGCCUUGAUGCAAUCUUAUGAAGAAAAACUUGAGUUGAAAGUUUCUAUACCUAGAAAACUCUAUGAUGAGUGGGAACCAACUAAUAAAAUUAAAAUUAAAGAUCAUGAGUUUGAUGCUUUGUGUGAUUUGGGUGCUAGUGUCUCUACUAUUCCCAAGACUUUGUGUGAUUUAGUAGAUUUUCGUAAUUUUCAUGAUUUCUCUCUAAACUUGCAUCUUGCGGAUUCCACUAUUAAGAAACCUAUGGGAAGAAUUAAUGAUGUUAUUAUUGUUGCAAAUAGGAAUUAUGUGCCCGUAGAUUUCAUUGUUCUUGAUAUAGAUUGCAAUCCUUCUUGCCCUAUUAUUCUUGGUAGACCUUUCCUUAGAACGGUUGGUGCGAUUAUUGAUAUGAAGGAAGGGAAUAUUAGAUUUCAAUUUCCAUUAAAAAAGGGCAUGGAACACUUUCCAAGAAAGAAAAUAAAAUUACCAUAUGAAACUAUCAUGAGAGCCACUUAUGGAUUGCCUACCAAAGAUGGCAAUACCUAGAUCUAUCCUUGCUUGUUAUGCCUAGCUAGGGGCAUUAAACGAUAGCGCUUGUUGGGAGGCAACCCAAUUUUAUUUUUAUUCCUUGCUUUUUGCUCCUGUUUAGUAAUAAAUAAAUUGUUUAGCCUCUGUUUUGGUUGUGUUUUUUGUGUUUAAUUAGUGUUUUUGCCAAGUAGAACCGUUGGGAAGACUUGGGGAAAGUCUUGUUGAACUUGCUGUAAAAAACAGAAACUUUAGCGCUCACGAGAACUGCUGUCAUUUUUAUUUGAAGAGUUAUAUUUAGUUAAUUAUUUUUGCAGAUGAUUAAUAGAUAAAUUCCUCACGUCCAGCAGUUUAUUUUAGAAUUUUUGGGGUUCCAUAUUUUGUGCUAGCUACAGAUUACUACAGACUGUUCUGUUUUUGACAGAUUCUGUUUUUCGUGUGUUGUUUGCUUAUUUUGAUGAAUCUAUGGCUAGUAAACUAGUUUAUAAUCCAUAGAGAAGUUGUAAUACAGUAGGUUUAACACCAAUAUAAAUAAAUAAUGAGCUCAUUACAGUACCUUGAAGUGGUCUUUUGUUUUCUUUCGCUAACGGAGCUCGCGAGUUUUCUAUUUUGAGUUUUGUGUUGUGAAGUUUUCAAGUUUUGGGUGAAUUCUUUUGAUGGAUCAUGGAACAAGGAGUGGAAAGAGCCUAAGCUUGGGGAUGCCCAUGGCACCCCCAAGAUAAUCCAAGGAUACCAAAAAGUCAAAGCUUGGGGAUGCCCUGGAAGGCAUCCCCUCUUUUCGUCCACUUCCAUCGGUAAUUUACUUGGAGCUAUAUUUUUAUUCACCAACAUGAUAUGUGUUUUGCUUGGAGUGUCUUGUAUUAUUUGUGUCUUUGUUUUUUAGUAUGCCACAAUCAUCCUUGCUGUACACACCUUUUGAGAGAGCCAUACAUGAAUUAAAAUUUGAUAGAAUACUCUAUGUGCUUCACUUAUAUCUUUUGAGCGUUAUAGUUUUGCUCUAUGUGCUUCACUUAUAUCUUUUGAACUAGGUAAUUUUUCUCUAUGUGCUUCACUUAUAUCCUUUGAGCUAGAUAAUUUUGCUCUAUGUGCUUCACUUAUAUCCUUUGAGCUAGAUAAUUUUGCUCUAUGUGCUUCACUUAAAUCUUUUAGAGCACGGUGGUGGAUUCGUUUUAAAGAAACUAUUGAUCUCUCAUGCUUCAAUUAAAUUAAUUUGAGAGUGUCUUAAUAGCAUGGUAAUUUGGCUAAUAAUGAUAUGCUUGGUAUUCAAGAUUUGUGAAACUUUCUUUUGAGUGUGUUGAAUACUAAGAAAAGAUUGAAGCAUGAUAAUUGUUUUGAGAUAUGGAGGUGAUAAUAUUAAAGUCAUGCUAGUUGAGUAGUUGUAAAUUUAAAGAAUACUUGUGUUGAAGUUUGUGAUUCCCGUAGCAUGCACGUAUGGUGAACCGUUAUGUGAUGAAGUCGGAGCAUGAUUUAUUUAUUGAUUGUCUUCCUUAUGAGUGGCGGUCGGGGACGAGCGAUGGUCUUUUCCUACCAAUCUAUCCCCCUAGAAGCAUGCGCGUAAUACUUUGCUUUGACAACUUCUAGAUUUUUGCAAUAAGUAUAUGAGUUCUUUAUGACUAAUGUUGAGUCCAUGGAUUAUACACACUCUCACCCUUCCACCCUUGCUAGCCUCUCUAAUACCGCGCAACUUUCCCCGGUAUCAUACACCUGCCAUAUACCUUCCUCAAAACAGCCACCAUACCUACCUAUUAUGGCAUUUCCAUAGCCAUUCCGAGAUAUAUUGCCAUGCAACUUUCCACCAUCUAGUUCAUCAUGACACAUCCAUCAUUGUCAUAUUGCUUAGCAUGAUCAUGUAGUUGACAUAGUAUUUGUGGCAAAGCCACCGUUCAUAAUUCUUUCAUACUUGUCACUCUUGAUUCAUUGCAUAUCCCGGUACACCGCCGGAGGCAUUCAUAUAGAGUCAUACUUUGUUUUAGUAUCGAGUUGUAAUCAUUGAGUUGUAAAUAAAUAGAAGUGUGAUGAUCAUCAUUCAAUAGAGCAUUGUCCCAAAAAAAGAAAAAUUCCAAAGAGAAAAAAAGGCCCAAAAAAUAAAAAAAGGGGCAAUGCUACUAUCUUUUUUUCCACAUUUGUGCUUCAAAGUAGCACCAUGAUAUAGCGAGUCUCAUAUAUUGUGCUUCAAAGUAGCACCAUGUUCUUCAUAUAGAGAGUCUCAUAUGUUGUCACUCUCAUAUACUAGUGGGAUUUUUACAUUAUAGAACUUGGCUUGUAUAUUCCAAUGAUGGGCUUCCUCAAAUUGCCCUAGGACUUCGUGAGCAAGCAAGUUGGAUGCACACCCACUAGUUUCUUUUGUUGAGCUUUCAUACAUUUAUACCUCUAGUGCAUCCGUUGCAUGGCAAUCCCUACUCACUCACAUUGAUAUCUAUUGAUGGGCAUCUCCAUAGCCCAUUGAUAUGCCUAGUUGAUGUGAGACUAUCUUCUCCUUUUUGUCUUCUCCACAACCACCAUUCUAUUCCACCUAUAGUGCUAUAUCCAUGGCUCACGCUCAUGUAUUGCGUGAAGAUUGAAAAAGUUUUGAAAAAGUUAGAGUAUGAAACAAUUGCUUGGCUUGUCAUCGGGGUUGUGCAUGAUUUAAAUACUUUGUGUGGGGAAGAUGGAGCAUAACCAGACUAUAUGAUUUUGUAGGGAUAACUUUCUUUAGCCAUGUUAUUUUGAGAAGACAUAAUUGCUUUGUUAGUAUGCUUGAAGUAUUAUUAUUUUCUAUGUCAAUAUAAACUUUUGUCUUGAAUCUUUCUAAUCUGAAUAUUCAUACCACAAUUAAGAAGAUUUGCAUUGAAAUUAUGCCAAGUAGCACUCCGCAUCAAAAAUUCUCUUUUUAUCAUUUACCUACUCGAGGACGAGCAGGAAUUAAGCUUGGGGAUGUCUGAUACGUCUCCAACGUAUCUAUAAUUUUUGAUUGCUCCAUGCUAUAUUAUCUACUGUUUUGGACUAUAUUGGGCUUUAUUUUCCACUUUUAUAUUAUUUUUGGGACUAACCUAUUAACCGGAGGCCCAGCCCAGAAUUGUUGUUUUUUGCCUAUUUCAGUGUUUCGGAUAAACGGAAUAUCAAACGGAGUCCAAACGGAAUAAAAUCUUCGGAAACGUGAUUUUCUCACCGAACGUGAUCCAGGAGACUUGGACCCUACUGCAAGGGAUCAAAGAGGAGGUCACGAGGGUAGGGGGCGCCCCCCCCUAGGGCGCGCCCCUGCCUUGUGGGCCCCUCGGUGCUCCACCGACGUACUCCUUCCGUCUAUAUAUACACACGUACCCCCAAACGAUCAGAACAGGAGCCAAAAACCUAAUUCCACCGCCGCAACUUUCUGUAUCCACGAGAUCCCAUCUUGGGGCCUAUUCCGGAGCUCCGCCGGAAGAGGGCCGUCAUCACGGAGGGCUUCUACAUCAUCCUAGCCCCUCCGAUGAAGUGUGAGUAGUUUACCUCAGACCUUUGGGUCCAUAGUUAGUAGCUAGAUGGCUUCUUCUCUCUCUUUGAAUCUCAAUACAAUGUUCUCCCCCUCUCUUAUGGAGAUCUAUUCAAUGUAAUCUUCUUUUUGCGGUGUGUUUGUUGAGACCGAUGAAUUGUGGGUUUAUGAUCAAGUCUAUCUAUGAAUAAUAUUUGAAUCUUCUCUGAAUUCUUUUAUGAAUGAUUGGUUAUCUUUGCAAGUCUCUUUGAAUUAUCCGUUUGGUUUGGCCAACUAGAUUGGUAGUUCUUGCCAUGGGAGAAGUGCUUAGCUUUGGGUUCGAUCUUGCGGUGUCCUUACCCAGUGACAGAAGGGGCAGCAAGGCACGUAUUGCAUCGUUGCCAUCGAGGAUAACAAGAUGGGGUUUAUUUCAUAUUGCAUGAAUUUAUCUCUCUACAUCAUGUCAUCUGAUUAAAGUGUUACUCUAUUUUUAACUUAAUACUCUAGAUGCAUGCUGGAUAGCGGUCGAUGAGUGGAGUAAUAGUAGUAGAUGCAGAAUCGUUUCGAUCUACUUGUCACGGACGUGAUGCCUAUGUACAUGAUCAUGCCUAGAUAUUCUCAUAACUAUGCUCAAUUCUGUCAAUUGCUCAACACUAAUUUGUUCACCCACCGUAGAAUACUUAUGCUCUUGAGAGAAGCCACUAGUGAAACCUAUAGCCCCCAGGUCUAUUCUCAUCAUAUCAAUCUCCAUUACUUUAAUAUUGCUUUGCUUUUUUACUUUGCCUUUACUUUUUACUUUGCAUUUUUAUACCAAAAAUACCAAAAAUAUUAUAUCUAUCAGAUCUCACUCUCGUAAGUGAUCGUGAAGGGCUUGACAACCCCUAAUCGCGUUGGUUGCGAGUAGCUAUCGCUUUGUGCAGGUACGAGGAACUUGAGCGUGGGCUCCUACUGGAUUGAUACCUUGGUUCUCAAAAGCUGAGGGAAAUACUUACGCUACUCUGCUGCAUCAUCACUUCCUCUUCGGGGAAAAUCAACAAGCUCAAGAUGUAGCAAUAGGUUUUAUUUAACUAAUCCAAAAGAAAUAUAUUCAAAUUACAAUGCAUGGAUGCAAUCAAUUAAUAAGGAAAAACUAAAUCAAUCAUAGUACAUAAUAAGCAUCAUCGAAUAUAAUCUCGAAUACGUCGUCUCAAAUAAUAGAUAUAAUCUCGAAUACAUCGUCUCGAAUAAUAUAUAUAAUCUCGAAUAAAUCAUCUCGAAUAUUAUAUAUCGAAUACAUCACUAGCUAGCUAGCUAGCUAAUAAAAAUCGAAUACUAGAGAGUAAUCUAGGCGGUGGACAACCAAAGUGAAGGAACCAUCACUGGAUCAUAGCUCGGGUGAUCUUCCCAAAGAACCUGCCAGGUAUUGGAGAACCUGACGUCCAUAGCAGCCAUGUAGCGAUGGACGUGCUCGUCCUCCUCCCUGACACGGCGACGUACCACCUCUGGCGGGGCCGGCUCCCUCCGCACCAAAAGUGGCCCACGCGAACGCCAUCAAAGGAGAUGAGGGUCGACGACGGGACCCAGGGCCAGGUUCCUCACCAAGCGUCACGCCCCUGAAGGUUGCACCUCCCAGUGCCAGCCCGGCGGAGCCCAGUCCCGGACAUGGGUCCUCUGAAGCAGGACGUCGUUGCGAACGGGUCGACGGCGAGGAUGCGGGCCGGGCAUCGUCGACAACAAAUACUAUAUGCCGCAAAAGUAAAGUAACAUUUUUAAAUGAUGGAUUGUGAUUUAAUAUAUGCAAAUUCUAAAUUUUAUAACUAAAACUAACAUUUCUAAUAUUUCUAUAACUAAAACAAACAUUUCUAAUAUUUCUAUAACUAAAAAACAUUUCUAUAUAACUAACAUUUCUAAUAUAACUAACAUUUCUAAUAUAACUAACAUUUCUAUAUAACUAACAUUUCUAAUAUUUCUAUAUAACUAACAUUUCUAAUAUUUCUAUAACUAAAAAACAUUUCUAUAUAACUAACAUUUCAAAUAAUUCUAUAACUAAAAAUAGAAAGAUUGCUAACAUUUCUAUAACAAUGUGUGUGUGUGUGUGUGGUNNNNNNNNNNNNNNNNNNNNNNNNNNNNNNNNNNNNNNNNNNNNNNNNNNNNNNNNNNNNNNNNNNNNNNNNNNNNNNNNNNNNNNNNNNNNNNNNNNNNNNNNNNNNNNNNNNNNNNNNNNNNNNNNNNNNNNNNNNNNNNNNNNNNNNNNNNNNNNNNNNNNNNNNNNNNNNNNNNNNNNNNNNNNNNNNNNNNNNNNNNNNNNNNNNNNNNNNNNNNNNNNNNNNNNNNNNNNNNNNNNNNNNNNNNNNNNNNNNNNNNNNNNNNNNNNNNNNNNNNNNNNNNNNNNNNNNNNNNNNNNNNNNNNNNNNNNNNNNNNNNNNNNNNNNNNNNNNNNNNNNNNNNNNNNNNNNNNNNNNNNNNNNNNNNNNNNNNNNNNNNNNNNNNNNNNNNNNNNNNNNNNNNNNNNNNNNNNNNNNNNNNNNNNNNNNNNNNNNNNNNNNNNNNNNNNNNNNNNNNNNNNNNNNNNNNNNNNNNNNNNNNNNNNNNNNNNNNNNNNNNNNNNNNNNNNNNNNNNNNNNNNNNNNNNNNNNCUGUUUUGGCCAGGCCAAGCGGCGGGAACGGCACCCCUUUAGUACCGGGUGGUGGCUCCAACCGGUACUAAAGGCCCCCCUUUAGUACCGGUUGGAGCCACCACCCGGUACUAAAGGGGGUGCGCUGGCGCAGGUGCGGUGCGUCAUGUUUAGUCCCACCUCGCUAGCCGAGGGGCGUCCGCACUGGUUUAUAAGCCCGAGUGCGGUAGCUCCCUCGAGCUCCUCUCCAAAGCAGACCUACUAGGCCUAAAUGUUCUGUGCUACCCUGUGGUCUUACUGGGCCUUUGCGGGCCUGCAUCCUGGCCCAACAACAGGUUGGGUUUCUAGUCAUAUGCAGGCCGCUGUGGCGCAGUAGGUGGGCUUUUUUUCCUUAUUUUUUGCUUUAUUUAUUUUUGUUUUAUUUAUUUUUGAGUUGUUUUUGCUGUAUUUAGUGUUUCUUUGUGAAUAUUUUUGCUUUAGGUACAAAAAAUUACAAACUUUCUGUUAGUACCGGUAGUUUACAAAUUUGAAUACUUUAAAUUUUGAAUUAUUUGAAAUUUGUGUGAAUCACUAGUUUGUGAAUAACUUAACUUUGAAAAUAGAUUUUCCAGUGAUUCUUUUUUCUUAUGUUUAAUAUUAGUGUGUUUUAUCAUUAUAUUCAAUUUGGUAAUGCUUAGGUUAUUUAAAAAAUGAAAUGCCUUUGUAACGAAUGAGUUUUCGUCCGAAACCCUGAUACUUCGAAAGAGAUUGUCCAUUUUGUACACGAAGUGCAUCCAGUUUUUGCGGUAACCCUCUCUACUUUUUUGCACAUGCUAUGUGGGUGAAGUUAUGGUACCAUGCCAACUUUCAACCAUUUUUGAGUUCAUUUGAAAUGCUUUUCAAUUUUAGGGUCAUUAGCUGAAAAAAUCAGUAAAUGCAUGAAAGAAUUUGCUUGCACAUAAAAUUUCUUCGCGUUUCAAAUGCCAAAACACAUAACUAGCUACCCUAACUAUUACAGAGAUUCCCUCCUGGGUGUGAAACACAGAAGAAAGUGAUGAUAGUGAAGCCGAUCACAUCCCAGAUCUUUGGGUGUGAAACUUUUUCUUCGCGUGUGUCCCUUUGCGCCAUAGCCAUGGAAAAUCUUCAUCAUUUAACUGGACGCUCGGGUCAAUAUUCACUGUGAAUGGAGCAAUUUCAUCAAACUUUUCAUAAUCUGCUGACAUGUCUGUCUUGUCAUCCACUCCCAUGAUGUUUCUCUUCCCAGAAAGAAUUAUGUGCCGCUUUGGCUCAUCCUACGAUGCAUUCGUUUCCUUAUCUUUUCUUUUUCUCGGCUUGGUAGACAUGUCUUUCACAUAGAAAACCUGUGCCACAUCAUUGGCUAGGACGAAUGGUUCGUCUGCAUACGCAAGAUUGUUAAGAUCCACUGUUGUCAUUCCGUACUGCGGGUCUUCCGUUACCCCGUCUCGUGUCAUAUUGACCCAUUUGCACCGAAACAAAGGGACCUUCAAACCACGUCGAUAGUCAAGUUCCCAUAUGUCCUGUAUAUAACCAUAAUAUGUUUCCUUUACCGUCUUGGUUUCUGCAUCAAAGCGGACACCACUGUUUUGGUUGAUGCUCUUCUUAUCUUGGCAAUCAUGUAAAAUGUAUUACCAUUUAUCUCGUACCCUUUGAAAGUCAUUAUAUUCGAAGAUGGUAACUGGGACAGCAAGUACAAGUCAUCUUCAAUAGAGGCGUCAUGCAUGGUACAUGUCUGCAACUAGCUGGCGAAACUCCUGGUUUGUUCACGUGUAAUCCAGUGAUCAGACCACUCCGGGUGUUUGGAGCGUAGCAAAUUCUUGUGUUCAUCCAUAUAAGGAGCCACCAAGGUGGAAUUCUGUAGAACUGUGUAGUGUGCUUCAGUGAGAGAAUGUCCGUCCAUACAUAUUGUUUGUUCCCCUCCUAGCAUGCCUUUUCCAUCCAGUCUGCCCUUAUGCCGCGAUUCAGGAACACCAAUCGGCUUAAGGUCAGGAAUAAAGUUAAUACAAAACUCAAAGACCUCCUCAUUUUCAUGGUCCUUGGAGAUGCUUCCUUCUGGCCUAGCACGGUUAUGAACAUAUUUCUUUAAGACUCUCAUGAACCUCUCAAAGGGGAACAUAUUGUGUAGAAAUACAGUACCCAAAACAUUAAUCUCUUCGCAUAGGUGAACUAGGACGUGCGUCAUGAUGUUGAAGAAGGAUGGUGGGAACACCAACUCGAAACUGACAAGACAUUGCACCAAAUCAUUCUCUAACUUUGGUAUGAUUUCUGGAUCGAUUACCUUCUGAGAUUGCAUUGAGGAAUGCACAUAGCUUCACAAUGGCUAAUCGAACGUUUUCCGGUAGAAGCCCCCUCAAUGCAACCUGAAGCAGUUGCGUCAUAAUCACGUGGCAGUCAUGAGAGUUUAGGUUUUGGAACUUUUUCUCUGCCAUGUUUAUUAUUCCCUUUAUAUUCGACGAGAAGCCAGAUGGUACCUUAAUACUGAGCAGGCAUUCAAAGAAGAUUUCCUUCUCUUCUUUGGUAAGAGUGUAGCUUGCAUGAUCCUGAUGUAUGUCGUCUUUUCCGUCAUAUGUUGCUGGUCCUCCCGUGCCUCAGGUGUAUCUUUUGUCUUCCCAUACACGCCCAAGAAGCCAAGCAGGGUCACACAAAGAUUCUUCUUCACGUGCAUCACGUCGAUUGCGGAGCGGACCUCUAGGUCUUUCCAAAAGGGCAGGUCCCAAAAUAUAGAUGUCUUCUUCCACAUGGGUGCACGUCCGUCAGCGUCAUCCGGAACAGGUUGUCCACCAAGACCCUUUCCAAAGACCACCUUCAAAUCCUUGACCAUGUCAUGUACAUCAGCACCAGUACGGUGGCGAGGCUUCGUCCGGUGAUCCGCCUCACCUUUGAAAUGCUUGCCUUUCUUUCUUACGGGAUGCCUGCUCGGAAGAAAUCGACGAUGUCCCAGGUACACAUUCUUCUUACAAUUAGCCAAAUAUAUACUAUCGGUAUCGUCCAAACAGUGCGUGCAUGCACGGUAUCCCUUGUUUGUCUGUCCUGGAAGGUUACUGAGAGCAGGCCAAUCAUUGAUGGUCAUGAACAGCAAUGCCUUUAGGUCAAAUUCUUCCCCCAUGUGCUCAUCCCACGCACGUACACCUGUUCCAUUCCAUAGUUGUAAGAGUUCUUCAACUAAUGGCCUUAGGUACACAUCAAUGUCGUUGUCGGGUUGCUUAGGGCCUUGGAUGAGCACUGGCAUCAUAAUGAACUUCCGCUUCAUGCACAACCAAGGAGGAAGGUUAUACAAACAUAGAGUCACACGCCAGGUGCUAUGGUUGCUGCUCUGCUCCCCAAAAGGAUUAAUGCCAUCUGCGCUUAGACCAAACCAUACGUUCCUUGCGUCAUCUGCAAACUCCUUCCCGUACUUUCUUUCGAUUUUUCUCCAUUGCGACCCGUCAGCGUGUACUCUCAACUUUCCGUCUUUAUUACGGUCUUCUUUGUGCCAUCGCAUCGCCUUGGCAUGCUCUUUGUUUUGGAACAAAUGUUUCAACCGUGGUAUUAUAGGAGCUGAAGGAAAUAUGCCCUAGAGGCAAUAAUAAAGUUAUUAUUUAUUUCCUUAUUUCAUGAUAAAUGUUUAUUAUUCAUGCAAGAAUUGUAUUAACCGGAAACAUAAUACAUGUGUGAAUACAUAGACAAACAGAGUGUCACUAGUAUGCCUCUACUUGACUAGCUCGUUAAUCGAAGAUGGUUAUGUUUCCUAACCAUAAACAAAAGAGUUGUUAUUUGAUUAACAGGAUCACAUCAUUAGUUGAAUGAUUUGAUUGACAUGACCCAUUCCAUUAGCUUAGCACCCGAUCGUUUAGUAUGUUGCUAUUGCUUUCUUCAUGACUUAUACAUGUUCCUAUGACUAUGAGAUUAUGCGACUUCCGUUUGCCAUAGGAACACUUUGUGUGCUACCAAAUGUCACAACGUAACUGGGUGAUUAUAAAGGAGCUCUACAGGUGUCUCCAAAGGUACAUGUUGGGUUGGCGUAUUUCGAGAUUAGGAUUUGUCACUCCGAUUGUCGGAGAGGUAUCUCUGGGCCCUCUCGGUAAUGCACAUCACUUAAGCCUUGCAAGCAUUGCAACUAAUGAGUUAGUUGCGGGAUGAUGUAUUACAAAACGAGUAAAGAGACUUGCCGGUAACGAGAUUGAACUAGGUAUGGGAUACCGACGAUCGAAUCUCGGGCAAGUAACAUACCGAUGACAAAGGGAACAAUGUAUGUUGUUAUGCGGUCUAACCGAUAAAAGAUCUUUGUAGAAUAUGUAGGAGCCAAUAUGAGCAUCCAGGUUCCGCUAUUGGUUAUUGACCGGAGACGUGUCUCGGUCAUGUCUACAUUGUUCUCGAACCCGUAGGGUCCGCACGCUUAAGGUUACGAUGACAGUUAUAUUAUGAGUUUAUGCAUUUUGAUGUACCGAAGGUUGUUCGGAGUCCCGGAUGUGAUCACGGACAUGACGAGGAGUAUCGAAAUGGUCGAGACAUAAAGAUUGAUAUAUUGGAAGCCUAUGUUUGGAUAUCGGCCUUAGUGGGCCUUAGUGGAAGAAGAGAAGAGGCAGCCAGGGCUGGGCCGCGUGCCCCUCCACCCCUAGUUCGAAUAGGACAAGGAGAGAGGGGGCCGGCGCCCCCCUCCUUCUCUCUCUCUCUUUUCCCACCUCACGAAUCCUAUUCCAACUAGGAAAGGGGGGAGUCCUACUCCCAGAGGGAGUAGGACUCCUCCUGGCGCGCCUCUCCUGGCCGGCCGGCCCCCCUCCCUUGAACCUUUAUAUACGGAGGCAGGGGCACCCCCUAGAGACACAAGUUGAUCCACGUGAUCAUAUUCUUAGCCGUGUGUGGUGCCCCCUUCCACCAUAGCCCUCGAUAAUAUUGUAGCGAUGCUUAGGCGAAGCCCUGCGACGGUAGUACAUCAAGAUCGUCACCACGCCGUCGUGCUGACGGAACUCUUCCCCGACACUUUGCUGGAUCGGAGUCCGGGGUUCGUCAUCGAGCUGAACGUGUGCCAAGAACUCGGAGGUGCCGGAAUAACGGUGCUUGGAUCGGUCGAACCGUGAAGACGUAUGACUACAUCAACCACGUUGUGCUAACGCUUCCGUUGUCGGUCUACAAGGGUACGUAGAUCACACUCUCCCCUCUCAUUGCUAUGCAUCACCAUGAUCUUGCGUGUGCGUAGGAAAUUUUUUGAAAUUACUACGUUCCCCAACAGGAGCAUACCACAUCACCUUGGCAGGAAUCUUCUUCCUGGGGCGCUCGCCCUCGACAUCACCAGGGUCAUCGCGGCUGAUCUUAUAGCGCAAUGCACCGCAUACCGGGCAAGCGUUCAAAUCCUCGUACUCACCGCAGUAGAGGAUGCAAUCAUUAGGGCAUGCAUGUAUCUUCUGCACCUCUAACCCUAGAGGGCAGACAGCCUUCUUUGCUUCGUACAUACUCUCGGGCAAUUCGUUGUCCUUUGGAAGCAUAUUCUUUAUCAUUACCAGCAACUUUCCAAAUCCCUUAUCAGAUACACCAUUCUCUGCCUUCUAUUGUAGCAAUUCCAGUGUGGUGCCCAAUUUUUUCUUGUCACCUACGCAAUUCGGGUACAAUAGUUUUUGUGCUCCUCUAACAUGCGCUGCAACUUCUUCUUCUCCAAAUUACUUGCGCAAUUUCUCUUUGCAUCGGCAAUGGCCCAACCUAGAUCAUCAACGGGCUCAUCCGAUGCCUCUUCUUCAGCUUCUUCCCGCAUUGCCGGCUCAGCUUCUUCCCGCAUUACCGGCUCAGCUUCUUCCCUCAUUGUUGUAUCAUCGUAUUCAGGGAACCCAUGGCUAGGAUAGCUGUCGUCGUCCUCUUCUUCUUCAUUAUCUUCCAUCAUAACCCCUCUUUCUCCAUGCUUGGUCCAAACAUUAUAGUGGGGCAUGAAACCGGACUCAAACAGGUGGACAUGAAUGGUUCUUGACGUAGAGUAAUUGUGACCAUUUUUACAGCCAGCACAUGGACAAGGCAUAAAACCAUUCGCCCGCUUGUUUGCCUCAGCCGCAAGCAGAAAAGUACGCACGCCAUUAAUGAACUCGGAAGAGCAUCGGUCAUCGUACAUCCAUUGCCGGCUCAUCUUCAAUACACAGCACCGAAAACACCAAAUUAAUACAAUACAUAAAGUUCAUACAUAAAGAUCAUACAACACUUAAAUGCAACAAACAAAUAACUCUCUAGCUAAAGAAUUUAAAUGCAACAACAAAUGAGAUCAAGAUCGCAACUAAGGUAACAAUUGAUCCAACAACAUAAUGAUACCAAGCCUCACUAUGAAUGGCAUAUUUUCUAAUCUUUCUAAUCUUCAAGCGCAUUUUCUCCAUCUUAAUCUUGUGAUCAUCGACGACAUCGGCAACAUGCAACUCCAAUUCCAUCUUCUCCCCCUCAAUUCUUUUCAAUUUUUCCUUCAAAUCCUCGUUUUCUCUUUCAACUAAAUUUAACCUCUCGACAACAGGGUCGGUUGGAAUUUCCAGUUCAACUACCUCCUACAUACAAAUAUCUAUGUCAACUUGUUGGGCAUAAUUUGUCAUAAACACGAAAUGCAAUGAAUAGUUUUAAAAGAGAAUAUACCACAUCCGAAUCAUAACCCGGACGAGGGCCUACGGGGACGGAUAUCAAAACCAUGGCACUAUGUAUAACAAACAACGUAUGGGUAAGAUAAUUAUACGAGUAACUAUAUAUCCAAAUCACACAAACAUCAAUUUUUUAUAUAAAACUUCAUGAACAAGAGGCUCACCACAAGGUGGUGCCGGCGACGGGACGUUGCGGGCGAUCGACGGUGGUUACGACGGAGAUUUAGAAGGCACUAAGUAAGCCACACCUACAUAUGCAAACUAAGUGUUAUUUUUGACCCCAGAUUGCAUAUAAAUCAAAUACUAGCACAUAUAUAUAAUUCCUCCCAAAUUACUAAACUCAAAAAUCAAACACUAUAUAAAGCAUUGCACGAGCUAAUCUAGCAAUGAGAGAUGAAAGGACAAAGUUGCUAACCUUUGUGAUCAUUUGAAUGGACGGGGGCCUUCAAAUCUUGACAGAUUUUGGGCAAACUGUGUGAUGAGCUUGAGAGGAAGAGGGAAAAGAACAGAGAGGAGAGGGGAAAGGGGAAGAACAGAGCGAGCUCGGGUGGACGAAGGGUCUAUGUAGGACGACCUUUAGUACCGGUUCGUGAUACGAGCCGGUACUAAAGAUGCUGGAGGGGCCCCGGACUGACAACAUCCUGCCACCACUCACUUUAGUACCGGUUCGUGGCACGAACCGGUGCUAAAGGUUCACCACGAACCGGUACUAAUGAUGUCCGCCCGCCUAGCCGUUGGAACCGGCACUAAUGGACACAUUAGUGCCGGCUCAAAUUCAAACCGGCACUAAUGUGCUUCACAUUUAACCCUUUUUCUACUAGUGACAGCCACCGCUCCCGAGACCACAAGGGGAAGCGCCCCACCGAGGAAGUGUGAAAUCUAAUGGCCCUCUCUUAUUUUAGGUUAGUAGUAUUAAGUUAGUUGUGUGAUGAACUCUGUUAGACCCUUUUGGAUCGGAUUGUGAUGAACUUUGAAUGUUAUAUUUAUGUCGAAUUGUUAUGUUUAUAUGUUAUAUGUAUGAUGGAUUACUAUGUUCAUAUGUUGAUUUACAUAGUUUACAUACUGGGCAUGGUUUUGUAUAGAUUUGUGGUAGGACAUAUAAGGGGCAUGCAGGUAUGGAGUGGGGAAAAUGCAGACUGUCCGAUUACCUCCGGCGGACGCAUCUGCAGGUGUAUAGAUGCUCCUCUAACGGUAGCUUUCAGUGGACAUGCAUAUGCAUGCAAAGAAGAACAAGUCUUCGUCCAUUCAUUUAUUUAUUUGCUGAUGAUGAUGAAGGAGAAGGAGGUGCGACGAUAGAAGAGCAAAUGACUUUUUGGAUAGGAGCUAGGAAAGCACGCGUCCAUACCAUGUCCAUGACUGACCCGAUCCAGUGUACGUACGUAGCUAAUAUAGUAGUGUUGUGGUACAGUGCAGCACGUGCCCGGCGCCGGCGGCGAACUUUCAGCGGCUUUAUUUUCUCAUGCAUGUGGUACGUAGCUUUGCAUGCAUCGUCCGAGAGAUAAGACGACACUUGACCCCCAACUAACCACACCUAUAGCUUAAUUAUCUUUUUCUUUUGCGGGAUAUAGCUUAAUUAUCUUCGGUGGCCGCCAUUAACUAAUCAAUCGCUCAACCCGUAGCUUGGUGUCGUUCAGAAUGAUUCCAUAUCCGUUAGAUCCAACUGGAUGCUCUUGCUUGCUCCGUAGAUUAUACCUUGCCAAAUUAGCAAAUACGUGCUCGAUUCAUGCAAUCUGUCGAGCAAUCUAUGCCGCUUUUUUCCUUGCAUAUAUACUAUAAUAAUAUACUAAGUGUGUCCAACAUGCACGUCACUGUGGUGUUAGGUGAAAGUUCACGUGGAAACAAGGAGGAAAGUUCGAGGAAGAGACACGAUCCAGCUGAGGUACCCUACCCGGCCAGUUGAUUUUCUUGACCUUUGUCCAUGCAACUUGCACAUGUUGCAUGUCCCUCUUUAAUUUGCAAUUAGUCUCUCUCUUUCUGCGACUAGUCUUCUCUCUUCUCUAGUUAAUCUCCACGACUUGAACAUCGCAUGUGGAUCAGAUCGAGCCAGCCAGCUCGGUCGGAGGUGACUAGCCGUUCGGUGUAUAAAUAGCAAGGGGUUAGCGGCUAUCUUGUGCAAGCCACACGACCCUCCCUCCCUCAGACGUAGGUCACUAGCUAAGGUCUGCAAGAAGCUAGAAGCUCAGCUUCAGCGAUGGCGUCCAGAGCAGCAGCGGCCAUCGCCGUCCUGGCCUUGGUCUGCGCCGCCGUCCACUCGUCGGAGGGCCAGCUCUCACCCAACUUCCACGCCGCGACGUGCCCGGACCUGGAGCACAUCGUGGAGUUCCACGUCGCCGAGACGUUCCGCCGCGACGUGGGCGUGGCGCCGGCGCUCAUCCGCAUCCUCUUCCACGACUGCUUCCCGCAGGGCUGCGACGCGUCCGUGCUGCUCAAGGGCGCCGGCAGCGAGCUCAAUGAGGUCCCCAACCAGACCCUCCGCCCCGUGGCGCUGGACCUCAUCGAGCGCAUCCGCGCCGCCGUGCACAGCGCCUGCGGGCCCACCGUCUCCUGCGCCGACAUCACCGUGCUCGCCACCCGCGACUCCCUCGUCGAGGCCGGCGGGCCGCGCUUCGACGUCUCCCUCGGCCGCCGCGACGCCCUCGCCCCGGCGUCGUCCGCUCUCGUCGGCCUCCUGCCGGCGCCCUUCUUCGACGUGCCGACCCUCAUCUCCUCCUUCAGCAACCGCAGCCUGGACGUGGCCGACCUGGUGUCCCUCUCCGGCGCGCACACCUUCGGCGUCGCCCACUGCCCGGCCUUCGAGGACCGCUUCAAGCCGGUGUUCGACACCAACCCGGCCAUCGACUCCAAGUUCGCCACCUCUCUCCGGAACAAGUGCGCUGGGGACAACCCCGCCGGCACCCUGACCCAGAACCUCGACGUCCGCACCCCGGACGCCUUCGACAACAAGUACUACUUCGACCUGAUCGCGAGGCAGGGCCUGUUCAAGUCGGACCAGGGCCUCAUCGACCACCCCACCACCAAGCGCAUGGCCACCCGCUUCUCGCUCAACCAGGGCGCCUUCUUCGAGCAGUUCGCCCGGUCCAUGACCAAGAUGAGCAACAUGGACCUCCUCACCGGCAACAAGGGCGAGAUCCGGAACAACUGCGCCGCCCCCAACAGGCGUGUCCAGGAUAUCGAGACCGCCACCACCGGCGACGAGGGGAUCGCCGCCGACAUGUGAGACAUGUUCUAUCGAUGUAACGUAGUGUUGAGUGAGUGACCGUUAAGCCGGUGUGUUUUAAACUUUUAAUUAAUUGUGCAAGCAUGUUGUCAUAGUUAAUAAGAUGAGAGGUCAAAUCGUAUGCAUCUUUUUCUCAGCGUGUGUGUGAUCAUCAGUAACUUCGUAAUGUCUGACCAGGCUGUGAUGCAAGCUUGUCUGAAUUUCUUGUAAUUUACACUCCGCCUUCUAUAAAGUUAAGGCAUGUAAUUUGCGUGCUCUCUCUCAAAAAAAAAAGUAAUAUCCGACUGGGUCAGCUUCAAGACCAACUAGAAACGCAAAGUAGCGUGUCACUCUCAGUGUUACGUCUGGUGUCAACACAAAAAAGAGAAGCCGUCGGUGUCACGUGCUGUAUGAUGGUCAAGACGGCAUAACCGGAUAAUUAGGCCGCCCGGAAACGGUGCUCCAUCUCUCACUGUCAGUGUUACUGCAUGACGGUCAAUACAUACAGCUUAAAUACAUAAGCCGAGAAAUGCUUAACAAAUGACAUACAUGUUCGGGAUGUACUGUACUGGCACGUUACCAAAGUUUAAUUUCUAGUUCGUCGCAGAAAAACGAUUUCUGUAAUGUCAUGAUAGAUUAUGAAUACAUUGGAAGUUUCUUCCGCAAAAAAAAAAAAAACAAUUGUGUUUUUACGAGAAACUGACUUUUUUCUGCAAAAGAAAAACAGUGUCCUCUUUUAGAAUUAUCUAUUGUACUAAUUGAGUUACUUUUUUUAGGGGACUAAUUUUUUUUAACGGGUAACUAGGGACGUUAUUAAGCAUUAAUCAACAUCGGAAUACAAAUAAUGUCUGCUACUGUCCCUAGCCAAAUGUGGCGACCUGCAGCAAGAGAAGAUGCCGCUUUCGCCAGUGCAUGGGCUUCGAAAUUAUUUUCUCUAUGUUCAAACUUGAACUUGACAUGGUGGAAAUCCCUUCUCCUCUCUGAUAUUUCAUGUAACACCGAUGCAUAGUGUGUCGCCGAUGUUGUUUCUAUCCUGUUCACUACUUUCAGACAAUCGGAAGCAAUCAGCAAGCGGGUUAGAUUUAGGUCCGUAGCCAAAGCUAGAGCUUCAUUGCAUGCGUGUGCCUCCAAAGCAACCGCAUCGUUCAAACCGUCGAAAACCAGUGUCGAAGCCCUCAGGAAAAGACCUUCCUUGUCUCUGCAUAUCACCGCUGCUGCCCCAACAUGGCCAUGCCUCGAUAUUCCCCCAUCCACAUUGAAUUUUGCUUCGUCUUCCUCCAGUGGAAGCCAUGCUUUGUUCCGAGGCCAGGUCCCGACAGCUGACAUAGCGAUCGGGUCUUCCCGCUUCACUGCAAUCUCUAGGUCCUGAAGAUACCUCGUGAUAAAACACCAAGUAGACAGCGGGCUCUGAAAUUCGUUGUCAUGGAUUGCUUUUCUUCGCGCCCACCAUAUAGCCCACAUAGUGAUGAAGACUUUUGCAAGCUCCUGUUCAUUUAAUGUUUCAAACAACCAGAAUAACCCCAGCCUGGGAUCCGGUGAUCUAUUAGAAAUGACAUGUUUCAGUACCUCUUCUUCACCAAGUGCCCACACACAGCGGGCCAUACGGCAGUCAAACAAAGAGUGGUGCCAAGUGUCUUCCUGUGCAUUGCAUAAAGGGCAGGCUGCUGUAUCUACCAUCUUUCGGUGAUGUCGGAUAACCCCAGUCGACAAUGAGGUAUGUGCGAGGCGCCAGAAAAAAACCCUGACCUACGAAGGCACCCUCGCCUUCCAGAGGUGGGACCAAUCCCUUUUGGCCGAGGCCUGAUCGGAUGUGCUUGUGCCAUACUCUAUCCAAUCCUCCCGCUGAUACUUUAUACCCGUUAACAUCCUGACACUGAUUUGACCGAGAAGAUGCCUCGCUUGUCAUAGUGCCACACAUAAAAGUCAUCUUGCAGCCUUGAGCUCAACGGGAUAUUCAGAAUAGCAUCCACAUCAGGGCCGACAAAAUGUUCAACGAGCAUCUGCUUGUUCCACGUCCUCGUGACCGAGUCAAUCAACUCCGAGACCUGUUGCGGUGGAUCAGCCCUCAAGGCACACAAAGGCCGCAGCUUAUAGUCACGUGGUAUCCAGUUAUCGCUCCAGAUGUCAGUAUCCGCACCUGUCCCCACUCUUUUGAUAAUUCCGAGUGCUAGGAUCUCCUUACCCUCCAUAAUAGAGCGCCAAACCUCAAGGAUGCUGCAUUGUGGGUAGUAACGUGCCUUGAGCACCCUCGCGCUUAGAGAAUCGGGUUCCUGUAGAAGGCGCCAAGCUUGUCAGGCCAGCAAAGCUAGAUUAAAAAGUUCAAUAUCUCUAAAACCCAUUCCUCCCAUGAAUUUAGGCUUGCACAUAGUAUUCCAAGACACCCAAGCCGUUUUCCUUUCUCCUCUUUUGCUGCCCCACCAAAACUUCCUGAGUAGACCAUUAAUAUGCUCACACGAACCUCUUGGCAAUUUGAAACAAGCCAUGGAGUAUGUUGGUAUGGAUUGUGCCACCGAUUUUAUUAGAACUUCCUUCCCUCCAGCUGAUAAGCACUUUUCCAUCCAUCCUUGUACCUGCUUCCAUAUUCCAUCCUUUAGGUACCGAAAGCACCCCUCCUUUGAACUACCAACAUCAGUUGGUAGCCCAAAAUAUUUCUCCGACAACGAUUCAUUAUGCACAUCAAGCAAUCCUUUCACCUCAUUCCUCAAUGUAUCUGGUACACCUUUGCUGAAGUAUAUGGAUGAUUUGUCUGUGUUGAUACGUUGUCCUGACGCAUCACAAUAUUUCUUCAACAACUCUCGGACUUUAACUGCACUCUCCGUUGUUGCCUCAAAGAAGAGCAAACUGUCAUCCGCAAAGAGGAGGUGAUUUACCGCUGGCGCUGUGGCCGCGACAGAAACUCCUCUAAUCCCUUCUUCUUGAGCUUUCAGUAAGCAAGAGAGGCCCUCAGCCGCCACCAGAAAUAAAUAAGGGGAGAUAGGGUCCCCUUGUCGCAAACCCUGUGAUGGCCUGAAAGCAUCCAGAAUUCCACCGUUAAAGAGAACUGAGAAAGAAACCGAAGAUACACACCUCAUGAUGGUUUCAGUAAACCUCGGGCUGACACCCAUUUUUAGCAUCACCGCUUUGAGAUACGGCCACUCAAGCCUGUCAUAGGCCUUCAUCAUGUCAAGCUUCAGUGCACAAAAGCGAUUGCCCUUCACCCUUCUCGUUUUCAUGUAAUGCAGGCAUUCAUAAGCUGUAAUAAAAUUGUCUGUAAUCAGACGUCCAGGGACGAAAGCUGACUGCUCUUCUGAGAUCACAUCCGGAAGGAUUAUCUUCAGCCUGUUAGCUAAAACCUUGGAAGCGAUCUUGUAGAUCACAUUACAAAGGCUUAUCGGCCGAAAUUGUCCUAAUAUUUUUGGACUUGCAAUCUUGGGAAUCAAAACGAUGAAUGUGUUGUUGAUAUCCUCCGGUGAAUCAUCUCCUUCAAGUAGUCUUAUUACCAUACCUGUCAUCUCGCCACAAAGAUCCCAAUGCCGCUGAAAAAUGUGUGCUGGAAAGCCAUCUGGGCCGGGAGCCUUUGUGGGAAACAUCUGGAAUAAUGCCUCUUUUACCUCAUCUCUAUUGUACCUCGCAUUAGACGGGCGUUCAUUGUUGCAUCGACUCUUCGUGGUAUAUGGGACAGCACCUCCUCGAUCCCAAUAGAGCCCUCUGAGGUAUACAAAUUCUCAUAAAAGGCACUCGUCAUAUCCGCCAAUUCUUGUGGAUCCGAGUAGGUAGUUCCAUCGCCGCGCACCAAAUUACUGAUCUUAUUCUUUGCUUUCCGUGCACUCGCCUUCUUCUGGAAAUACUUUGUAUUUGCGUCUCCUUCUGAUAGCCGUUGCACUCGUGCACGCUACCUCAUCAUCACCUCUUCUCGAAAGGACAACUCGACGAUCCUGUCCUGCACCCGUUUCUCCUCAGGACCGGGGCCAACCCUCAACGGAUCAGCUCGAUAUCCUGCCAGCUACUGCCUCAGAUCUCUCAGCUCCUGCCGGACAGAGCCGAAUGUUUGUCUGCUCCAUCGCUUUAAGCUUGCUGCAACGUUGUUCAGCUUGUGCGCCAGCUCGCCUACUGUGUUUGCUAGGAGUGCAGCCUCCCAUGCUUGUCCCAGAGCCUCACCGAACCUAUCGUCAGUUUCCCAUGCGCACUCGUAGCGGAAAGGUUUCUUCAGUGAGUGUCUCAAGCUACUAUCUUCCAACUCAUUUGAAAAGACGAUCGGGCGGUGGUCAGACUUUGCAGCGGUGAGGUGUUCAACUGAAGCAAAAGGAAACAAAGCCGACCAGCUGGGAGUAGCUAGGGCUCUGUCCAGUCGUACGUGGCAGAACUCUCCCCCCACCACUCUCUUUUCGAAGGUCCAAUCCAAUCCCUUAUACCCCAGCAAACAUCAACAGCUUCUCGAAAACCUGCAAUUUGUGCACUGUCCCGUUCAUUUGGUCCCAUUUGUUCCUCUGGCCGAAGUAUCUCAUUGAAAUCCCCCAUGCACACCCAAGGCAUCGUGCUCUCACCUCUCAGGAUCUUCAUCGUAUCCCAAGUUUUGUACCUCAAGCUCCUGUUUGCAGCUCCAUAAAAGCAAGAUAAACACCAAGGUUCCUCCCUAGGUUGGGAAAUCACCGAGUCAAUAUGAUACUGAGAAAAUGUUUUUAUUCCGAGAUUGAUAUUAUUCUUCCAAUACAAGCACAAACCCCCACUUCUUCCACUACUACCUACUCCAAAACUACUGCUGAAACCUAACCUACUCGCCAAACCUUCCACUCGGUACUUUGCCAGUUGAGUUUCAACAAUGCAUAGCACCGACGGCGCACUAGCCUCCACAAGAUCGCGGAGCUCAUGAACUGUUGUAGGGUCGCCAAUUCCUCGACAGUUCCAGCACAUAGUCCUCAUUGGGCUCGGCGGUCCUCCUCUCCGGAGGCCGCCUUAGAUGUGUACUCAGCUCCAUCCACAACCAUCCCCUCAUCCUGCUUCCUCCGCUUCACUUCCUGCACUUUCUCUGGCGUAGAUGUCGAUUCAUUGGCGCCUGAAGAGGUAGCACCCUCAAUACGGAGGACCGAACCUGCCACUCUGCCAGCUAAAUUCGGGACCGAUUGGCCCCUUACAUUGACACUGCCAUCCGCUGCCACCAGCCGCUUGCGGGCUCCUUUCUCACCUACCUCUUCCCCGUGCUGGUACCCCAGAUCAGGCUCCGUUCCAUCCAUCCUUGCCCGCUGUGUAUCAGCAGCAGCCACCUCCUCUCCAAAAUCUCCUCUCCCUCUUCCACCCCCCGAGCCCCUUCCUCCUCGGCCUCCCCUUUCUUCUCUGCCAACAUCCCUCCAACUACCUCUUCCCCCACCAUCCCCUCUCCCUCUCCCACCUAAACCUUGAGUUGUCGUCAUCUCCGGCUCCCAAAGCAACCACUCCCCCCAUUCGAAGGUUCUCGGGUCGUGAACCCCGUCACCACAUUCAUCAGCUAAGUGUCCCAUUCUUCCACAAGCAAAACAGAAGUCUGGGAGCUUCUCAUAGUAGACACUAUAUCUCUUGUACUCCUUUAAAGUAAUUGGCACAAAACGGACCAAUGGGAUAUUGACAUCCACAUAAACCCUAACUCGUAGGGUGCUAGCCGGGUUUAUUCUUCCCUCAUUCAUGAUCAUGUUGAAAGGUGGACCCCCCACCUUUGCAGCAACUUUCUCAGCCAACUCUCUCCUCCUCGUAAGGCCAUCUGGCAACCCCUUCACUCUCGCCCAGACGGGUAUCUUGUUUAGUCUGUAACCUUUGACAUCUGAAAAACCAUCAUAUUCUUGUAGCACCACCGGAGCCCUCNNNNNNNNNNNNNNNNNNNNNNNNNNNNNNNNNNNNNNNNNNNNNNNNNNNNNNNNNNNNNNNNNNNNNNNNNNNNNNNNNNNNNNNNNNNNNNNNNNNNNNNNNNNNNNNNNNNNNNNNNNNNNNNNNNNNNNNNNNNNNNNNNNNNNNNNNNNNNNNNNNNNNNNNNNNNNNNNNNNNNNNNNNNNNNNNNNNNNNNNNNNNNNNNNNNNNNNNNNNNNNNNNNNNNNNNNNNNNNNNNNNNNNNNNNNNNNNNNNNNNNNNNNNNNNNNNNNNNNNNNNNNNNNNNNNNNNNNNNNNNNNNNNNNNNNNNNNNNNNNNNNNNNNNNNNNNNNNNNNNNNNNNNNNNGCCAAACUCCUCCUCGACCCCCUCUGCCUGGUUCCGCACAUCCUGCGAAUUCUGAUCUUGCCUAUCCUUCCCCCUAGUCUCCUCCUCAGCCCCCCCUCUCGCCUGCCCCGAUCCACUUGGCCGAGCCGCCGCCGCCAACGCUACUACAUCCGCCCUCGCUUCCCCCAUCCCCCCUUGCACCUGAGUCGUUGGGUCCGCCAUGCACGCACGCACACACGACGGAAGAUGAUAGAUCUCACCGACAGCCAAAGACGAUCGGCAGCCGAAGAGAUUUUACGUGGACUCCGGCAGGAUCGCCGGAGGAUAGGUGGAACCCUAAGCGGAAACCCUAGGGGAAAAACUCUCUAGUCCGUGGUGGUCAUUGAGUUACUGCAAAAGGAAAAACUCAGAGCAGUUCAACUGGGGAGCUAAGAAUCAUGAACGGGCCGUGGAUCUUGACGGCUUUUUUUAGUUUCGGCCGCCCACUCCUUCGCUUCCAGUCUGCCACACUACAUGGUCUGAGCGUGGUUGAAUAAAACGGAGUGAUUGAUCCUAAAAAAAACUACAUGAUCUGAGCUCGUGUCCAGCUGGAUGUUUUACUCAAGAUUUAAAAAAAACCAGUAAGAGGUGAUCAUCGGCAACAUCUCAAUGGUUUUUUUUCGGGUGAACAUCUCAAUGUCUAACUAACCUGUAGGACGCCAUGUCACCGAGAGUGCUACUGUGCAGCGGCGAGUCUACCAGGGGGCUUCAACAGGCUGAAGCCUACCCUCCAGAAAAAUGAAUCUUUUUUACUACUAAACUAAUCUCGUCCCAGCCCAAUAGCCCAACUUCUCAGCCUAUGUAUUAGCAAGUAGCGAAUAAACAACGCCGCACACCCACAGAGAACAGAACUGGCGACUCACAGCGGCGGCAGCCAUGCGUUCAUGCUCAUACUCCUACCGUAGCGCCGCCCGCGGGGGACCAGGCUACCGCCAGGGGAGAUGGUUGUGGUAGAGCUCAGCCGUAGCCACAGCUGAUUUAGGCGGGGGAUGCAGUCUGCAGGAGCUCGCCGGCCUGCCGACAUGAGGGAGCCAGGGGCGAGCUGGGCGGCUGCUGGCUGGGUAACUGAACCGGAUGCAGGUUAACUAAUUUAGUGUCCAAUGGAACUAUUUGCAGAUUCGCAAAAAGAAUUGAGGAGAAAACAUACGAGUAUAUGCAUAGUUCUGAACCUAUCCCAGCUUGUGCAUAUGUAAUCCAAACUUUGGUCAAAAUUUUCAUAUUUUAAAAUAAAUCUAAGAAAUUCCAGCAGAAAAUACGUACAUGUUUCCGAUACUAAUCUGGAAAAAUUGAAGCUUAUUUGGACCACGGGAUUAUGAGGCAAUGAUUUGUUUCUUUAAAAUGAUGUUUAGUUCUCUCAGCGUUAACUUUGAGCCCACCCUUCAUUUUGUUCCUAGAUUCGCCACUGCUACUAUGUGCUGCUACACUGUCAUUGUUAGUGUUCACUUUAGGAUGCUCGGGUUCCACUCAAAAUGAGAAUCAUGGCGUGGAAGGCUGUGUCAGGAGCGCUAGCAACUAACUAUUGCAAGAAAUAUAGGCACAUAUCCACUCGAGAUACAUGCCCUCUAUGUGGUACAGAAAAGGAGACCAGCUUCCAUGCGCUGGUCACUUGUGAUUAUGCUCGAGCAGUGUGGACGCAGAUGCGUUCAGUAUGAAACCUCCCUGAUCAUCAACUGCUGCGGGACACAGGUAACGAGUGGCUUCUGAACAUUCUAGUGAAUUGCAAUGAUGAAAUGCAGGAUUGCACCAUCAUGUUAAUCUGGAGGAUUUGGACGAUGCAGUCGGACAUGGCGCAUGGCAAAGAUGUACCGGCUCCGGCGGUAACGGCCGACUACCUUCAGAGUUAUAUGCACUCGCUACACUUGGCUAGGAGGUACUCUACAGAGGAGAUCAUCAAGGGGAAGAUGCCAGUGCAGUACGAAGCUCCGGUCAGGUCGUGCGGUGAGGCGGCGCGGCUACCAUGGCCGAGACCGGUGGAUGGCCAAGCAGCGUUAUCGGUCGAUGGGUCGUUUCUAGCUUCGGAUGGAUCAGCGGCAGCGGGUAUGAUACUAAGAAGAUAUGAUGGUACUGUCAUAUUUGCAGCCUAACGGUGUAUCUUCAACUACAAUGAUGCACUGGAGGCGGAAUUACAUGCAAUAAUGCAAGGAAUGGCAUUGACAAUUCAGCACUGUAAUCUUCCUAUCAUGGUUCAAUCCGACUCCUCACAGGCUCUUUUCGGCAUAUGGUCACUUAGUUGCUGAGAUUCAUCAUCUUAUGGGUGAAAGAGAGUUUAUUCCUUCGAAAAUUAAGCGAGAACAGAAUAGGAUAGCAGAUCGUUUAGCUAUGUAUAGUCGUACAGAGAGUACUAUAGCUGUAUGGCUUGGGCAGGGCCCUCCUUGUAUUGAGGAGCUUUUGCCGUUUGAUUGUAACUCUAUGAAUAUGAAAUAAAACUCUUUUACCACCGAAAAAAUACAGCUUAAGCUUGCCAUUUAAAGUAGAGAAAGCAUGUACAACAAAGUAGUUUUAUGACCUGAACAACAAGAUAUAAGCAUUACCGUUUAGUUGUGAAGUUCCGGCACUGCACCAUUUUUUUAUAUGCACAUAUAAGUGAUUUUUAGAACUUGCACAUAAAGUAAUUGACAUGAAAAAAACAUAUAUGCUUUGCAGUAACUAGUGUGGGCUUUCUGCAAAUCAAACAACUCCUUGAGUGGGCUUGGCGGAGUCUAAACAUUGAUUGGCUCGGGAAUACCAACGCCGGUGAGCAAUUUUAGGCAGCAACGACAUGGUUGGCCGGCUGUUUGAGACGUCAGUUUGACGCCUUUAGUGUUAAAUAAUGUUAGGGAAAAACUAAUGCCCACAUGUGUGGCAUCUUGCACAUUACCCACACGCCUUCACCAUUCAAUUAUUCACGUAUGAACAAAUAACAUCAGCAGGAAUCUUUUUGGUUUUUGGCUUAAAAAUGUUUUGUCUCCUAAUUACAAAAUUGAAUUAAAAAUCCGUUUUCACCAUUAAAUACGUCUCGACGAGAUCUUUAAAACUAGACCCCAUGUUGAUAUGUUUCGAUGAAUUUUUUUUUGCUCAAAAGUUGUCAUGAUGUUUACACUGUAGUUGCCAUAGUGCUUAAACUAAAAUUGCCAUGUGAAAAUUUUAGUUUGUAGAGCAUGGCAAUUUAGAUUUUUUUUAUGAUGGCAAUUCCAGUACUUUGAUUAUGAAAAUUAUUUUUUAUAUGAAGCAUGGCAAUUUUAAGUGCAUGUAUCAUGGUAAUUUUAGCUUAUGGUUCAUUUCAAGUCUAGUUUCUUAAUUCGUCGUUUUAUAAUAUGUCAAAAUUACUUUUAAAUGUAAAAUAAAAUAGCUGAAACAUAUCAUGACAACUUCAGUGUAAACAUUAUGGCAAUUCAUGUGCAAUAGACAUGGUAACUUUUAACCCCAAAAAAUUACAUCGAAAUAUAUUGAUAUAAGAUCUAGUUUCGAAAAUCUCCUCACGGGGAUUUAAUGGUGAAAACGGAUCUCCAGUCGGAUUUUUCAUUUAAGAGAUAAAAUAUUUUAAAAACUGAAAAAUCAAAAAGAUUUCCAAAUGCAUGCAUCGAUGACGUGAUGCAUACUAUUUGUUAUAUGGUGUGUAGGCGGGUUUGGCUCGCACCACACAUAUGAGCAUUAGCGUUGUCCUAAUGUUAAAUAAUGAUACCUCCUAUUUGGUUCUACGCUCCUUGCGCCAAAUAGGUGGGUGACACACACAUGCCGUGACGGACUGGCCCAAUGCAUUUUAGUCUAAGCUGCUAAAGCGAGUGUUGCUACAAUAUUUUUGUUUUACUAGAUUUUAGAUGCUUCUUCUUUUUGAUAUUUUCUACUGUAUUUCUCACGAGAUUUUAUUAAUUAUCAAAAUAAAUCGUGAAUAUUUUUCAUGAACAUUCUUUAGAAAGUGGACAUUUUAGAAUUUUUAUAUGUUUUGGAAAAACGAAAUAUUUUCUCAAAUUGUGAAUAUUUUUUAAAAACUGCACACAUAUUUUGAAAACUGUGAUUGCUUCCAAAAAAUUUGGAACUGCUUUCUAAAUUCCAAAAAAAUUUAAAAAUAGCCUAUAUUUAUUUAAAAACUCCAAUAGUUUUUCUAAUUUCGUAAAGUUUAAAAAUAUGAACAGUUUUCAAAAUCAUGAAUUUUCAAACUUGUAAACAUUUUUUGAAAGAAACACUCAAAACAUAAUAAUAAUAAUAAUAAUAAUAAUAAUAAUAAUAGAAAUACAAAAAACAGCAAAUUAACUUCUAGAAGGUUCCUAAAACCGAUAAUAAAUUAGUGUGAAACCUUCUAGAAGGUUUGAGCCGUGCCAAAAACUAUAAAUAACGGAGUCUUGUUUGAAGCGUCAAAUAAGGGAAGUCUAAAAUAGAGGCGUCAAAUAGUAAGGGCUACACACAGGUUCAAGCCUAGUUGGCCAGCCCACUCUGCCAAUGCGUGGUGCACUCCCUUGAGCGACUUCCUUUUAUUUCUUUUUCAGUCGAUUUUCCUUUGGAAAACUAACUGUUGGAUCGUUUUUUAGGAAUUAAAUAUUUAGGAAAUGCUAAAUAAAAUAUAUUAAAAAUAUAUUCGUCACAUAUUAAAAAAUCAGUGUGUCUUUAAAAAUGUUCAGUGUAUAUUUAAUAUAUUCACUAUAUAUAAAUAAGUUCACCAUAUAUCUAAAAAUGUUCACUGUAUAUUAAAAAGUAUUCACCAUAUAUUGAGAACUUUUUCAUUGUACAGUAAAAUUAUUAAAACAAUGGAGAAGUGCAAAAGAAAGAAAAGCAAAAGGAAAACCAGAACCCUGAUGAAAAGGGGAAAAACACUUAAACAGGAUCAAAAAACCGAAUAAGAAAAAGAGAUUGAAAAAUGAAUUAUAAAUUGGAAAGGGAAAAAUAAAACAGCUAAAACCAGGCUAAACGGAAACACCCAAACAAAAUCAGAGAGAAAACUCAGUGAAACCGCUCAGGUGCGGCAGUAACUAAAUGCCAACCUGGGCGAGCUCAGCGGGUCGCUGCGGGCAAUUCAACAACUAUUUUACACCAUAUGAAUUGCACAGCGUUCUCCGCCAUUACUGAUCACUUUGUGCAAACACUUCCAGGUAUCCCCAAGACUGCAACUGCCGCACAUACAACGUCAUAGAACCUCGACUUAUGUACUAUUCUAUAUUUAAAUAGCUAGCUUUAAUUAACUAUUUCUCUCAUGGAACCAUGUCAUCUCAGCAUGCUUUAUACAUGGCAAAAAUCUCACCUCAACAUACAUCCCUUAAUGCUGCAUCCAGCUAGGGGAUGACAAACGUCCAAGACUCCAAGUGGAACUAGAUUACCAGGUUCCGGUGACAGCGUUGCGAAUUCACGGAUCUCUCUCAACAGUAUAAGUGUAUAAUCAGAAAAAUAUAUCAUAACUAAAGCUGAGAUCGAACUUCUAAAGUUUUAUCACUUUCAAUGCGUUCAUAAAGGUAUAUAUUAGAAAACUAAUCAUCUCAAAAUCGAUGUUUGCGCUCCUACAGAUCCGAGACAUGGUAGUUAAGUCUAGAAAUUAAGGGUACUAGAUCAUUGAUGGCGCGUGUUGCCGCGCCCGUCCAUUUUGACGGUAGAAUGAUAGAAAUUGUCAUAAAUAUAUGGAGGCAAAAGCUAAACAAAACCAAAAUGUGAAUUACGGGAAACUAAAAUAUGUUGAAAUAAGUUGUUCCAAGCAUGUUUCCCUUUUGUUUUGGUAUGUGAGGUAUUCCAAUAUAAUCAGUAGUAAAGUAGAAAUUGAAAAGAGAAAAUGCUUUUUGUUCACAAUAAGAAGAAAAAUUGAAAUUGCCCAAUAUCUGAACUAUUUUGUGUCAGUUUAUAUACAUAAUGAUAUACUUACUAAAUAUCUCCACAAGCCUACUUCUAGAGCACACACGUUCCUGCGCCCAUAAAGUUUUUCAAUAAUAGGUUUUUUUUGCCAAAAUAUGAAAGGCCAUGACAAAUCAGGUUAUAAAAAUCAUUAUAAUCCAAAAAUUCUAUCAUGUAGUUAACAAAACCAAACUAUUUUAUGCCAAAAUAUGAUAGGAUUUUUUUGUCAAAAAAUAAAACCACACCAAACUCAAAUGUAAGCUUACUACUUGAUCUAUCUUAUAAACUAUCGAUAUCCUGGUGUGUGAAUUGCACCUUAAAGAUAUACCCAUUAUCAAACAUGAGUCGAUAUGAUUGUAGUUAUAAUAUGAUGACAUCUUGGUUUCCAACUUUGAUAGAGCAGAAUAGAAACACAUGAAAGAUAAACAAACAAGAUCUAUCCUAUAAACCAUCGAUACCUUGGGGUGUGAAUUGCACCUUAAAGAUAUACACAUUAUCAAACAUGAGCCGAAUUAUUGUAGUUGUAGUAAGAUGAAAUAUUAUUUUCCAACUUUGAUAGAGCAGAAUAGAAACACAUGAAAUAUAACAAACAAGCCUACCCAAAUAGAAAUGCAAUAGUGCAUAAUACUAUACUAGCAAAAGAGCCCGUGCGUUGCAACGGGUACAAAAUGAACUUAACAAUUCAUAUGGUAUUCGACUCCCAUGGUGCAAUAUUGAACUAUAGCUCGCAAUCAGUCGGCUUCUGCCUCGACUUAUCUUUCCUUUGGUGUAAAAUUGUUGGGCAUUCGGCAGCCAUGCUACUAUUAAGAUGCAAUACUCAUCCUUUGAAAAAAAGAUACUCCCUCUUAUCCAAAAUAAGAGUUGCAGUUUUAAAAUGGGGUUAGUUCAAGACUGCAACACUUAUCAGGGAUCGGAGGUAGUACUAUUUAGAUAUGUGUAUGUAAAAACGACAUAUAAAGCUUCACCAUAUAUGAACUGCAAAAAUACAAAAAUACAUUAUCGUGUUAGGAUGAUCUCCACCGUGUGGGCCCAACGGCCCACCGGGCCCUUAGAUCUGUGCCCUGAUCGGGGGCGCUCAACCCACUAUGGUUGACAGGCCCCUGUCACCUGCACUAUAUAAAGAGGUGGGGGCCGGCGGCUCGCAUCACGAGGUUCGUCGCACAUUCGUACACCCCACCUAAUCCCCUACCGAUCUAGGGUUAGUGUAGUGCUGAUGGGAAGCUCUGCCACCACUACUCUCUGCCAUCACCGGCACCGGCACCAUGGCCGGCACCAGGAGCUCCUCGAGCCACAAGGAAAGGUAAUACCUAUCGCCACUACCGGAAUCCCCAUGCCCACUGGAUCAAUAGACACUAUCAAUGGUAUCAGCCCAGGUUGGCGUUGUGGAUUUUUGGUAGCAACAAAAAUCCCCCCCUCCCUAAAGAACCCUAGUAGGGCAGAGAAAAGCAAACAAAAGUUCACCGGAGAAGGCCUUGGGCCGCCGGCAAAGUGUGCCGCCACUCCGACCGCGCCUGUUCCUCUCGAUCCCCACACGCAUCGGCAAGCCGAGGUGCGGGGACGAAGAACCACCCCACACCGGGGCAAAGGGCACCACCACCAAGCCAUUUGACGGCGGCGCGUUCACCCUCGAGGUGCUCGCGCACGCCGGCAAAGGGGCCGGCAGGGGCGCCGCCGCGGGCGCACGCCGCAACUCCAUCGCAUCUGGAAACUGCAGUCGCGCGCGAAGGGAAGCAAACGAGGCUCUGCUCGCGCUGCUCGCGUCUCUAUCUCGCUGGGGCGGUGGUGGAUGGAAGAAAGGAAAUGAGAAAGGGAGGGGAAAGGGAAGGCAGCUCGCGCGGGCAGCGACUUCGUCGCAGUUGCCGGUGACCGGCGCGACGCGGUGACCCGCGGUCGGGUCGACAGAGAAGUGAGCGGCGCGCACGGGGGGAGAAUGGCCUAGGGUUUUCCCCUCAGUAGCGUCGCCAACUGGUUUUGAUCCAGCGAGAUGCACGGGCCACCGUUGGAUCGCCAUGAACGGCAGAGAUAGAAAACCUAAGGCACUACGGGCUUUUUGGGCCGAAACCGCUGGCCAGCUUAGCUGCUGGGCCGGCAGAGCCGGCGACCCAACCCGGCAGCCGCGGGGGACAGGCGAGUAGGCCGUGGGCCGGUUUUCUCACCGUGGGGGACAGGCGGCGCCGCCAGCUGGCCGUGGGCCAAGAGCAGCAGGCCGCAGAGCGACGCGAAUGAGCAGGCUAUGGGCCGCCGGCGUGAAAGAAACGGCCCACGCACAGAGUUUUCUCUGAUAAUUUUUACAGAGCACAGUUUUCA
rnacentral:lncRNA from 1 species